rnacentral:lncRNA from 1 species
UGAGAAGCCACCUGUGUAUAAGCCACCGGUAGAAAAACCUCCAGUUUACAAACCACCGGUAGAGAAACCACCAGUGUACAAGCCACCAGUUGAGAAGCCCCCCGUCUACAAACCUCCUGUAGAGAAGCCUCCUGUUUACAAGCCACCAGUAGAGAAACCACCAGUGUACAAGCCACCAGUUGAAAAGCCUCCGGUCUACAAACCACCUGUAGAGAAGCCACCUGUUUACAAGCCACCUGUAGAGAAACCACCAGUGUACAAGCCACCAGUUGAGAAGCCUCCGGUCUACAAACCACCUGUAGAGAAGCCACCUGUUUAUAAGCCACCUGUAGAGAAACCACCAGUGUACAAGCCACCAGUUGAGAAGCCCCCGGUCUACAAACCCCCUGUAGAGAAGCCUCCUGUCUACAAGCCACCAGUAGAGAAACCGCCAGUGUACAAGCCACCAGUUGAGAAACCCCCGGUCUACAAACCCCCUGUUGAGAAGCCUCCUAUCUACAAGCCACCAGUAGAGAAACCACCAGUGUACAAGCCACCUGUUGAGAAGCCUCCAGUUUAUAAGCCACCAGUUGAGAAGCCACCUGUGUACAAGCCCCCAGUCGAGAAACCCCCGGUCUACAAACCUCCUGUAGAGAAGCCUCCAGUUUACAAGCCACCGGUGUACAAACCUCCAGUUUACAAGCCACCAGUAGAGAAGCCACCUGUGUACAAGCCUCCGGUCUACAAACCCCCAGUUGAGAAACCUCCAGUUUACAAGCCACCGGUUUACAAGCCUCCAGUCGAGAAGCCACCAGUUUACGGACCACCUCACCACCCAUAGUACCCUCCCGUAGUUGGCACUACUCGUUUUUAAAGCAUGCUUUUAAGUAAAUAAGAGAUAUAUAAACUUUCCAAAGCAAGGAUCAUAUAUUCUUGGAAAUCUUCAAUUCAAUCUUAUGUUUACAAAUGCUAUUGCCAAGACAAGAGUGUGAAAGAAAAUGGUGCCAUUUGUACUUCAAAUUAUGAAUAAGAACGUUAUGAUUUAGUACUUCUUAUUUUGUGUUUGUUGACUAAAUUUGACAGAGUAUACUUUACUUGUUCCCUAUCAUACCAGUAAGGUGCAUGAAAGUUCAGUCUUGAACGGUGGAAAUAAAUAAUAAUUAAUUAAUGUUUGAAUCUCGAAUUUACUAAAUUAACGAACUUGUAAUUUCAUUGGAAUAUACUUGACUCAGUGGUAGCUUUAGUUUCAACUUGGAAAAUGUCCGUGAUAUGACAAUUUUUCCAAAACAAGUUUAGGUUAAGAUUUUUAUUUUUUAUUUUUGACAUAAUAUACGUUAAGAUUCUUGUGUACUAAUAGAAACUGAAAAAUCAUUUUGGUGCUUAAAGUUUAAUGAGUUGGACAAAUUAUUCACUCAAAUAUGGAAAUGAUAAUGUAGUCUCUUCAAUUAUAGAAUGCCAUUUAAUUUAGUUACCUUUUCAAAAUUAGCAUCACAAUUCGCAAGGUUUUAUAUUUGUGUUGAUGCAUCAGUUAAGAUAAGGAUCACGAAAAUUAGGUUUUUGACUUGGUUUUGAUUAGGGGUGUUUGCGGUGCGUUUUGGUUCGGUUUUGAGCAUAAAAGUCAUCUAAACCUCAAGAUAAAAAAGCAUGCGGUUUGGUUUGAUUCAGUUGAUUUUUAUAUAGUCAUCCAAACAAAACCAAACCAAACCAAUGCGGUUUGGAUUGGUUCGGUUUGUACGGUUUAUCGCGAGAUGAAAAAAUAUUACAUUAACUCUAAUAUUGCCAACUUGUUACAAAAUAAACAUAGGACAUUUUAUUUUGUUGUUUAUAUGAUAAAAUAUUAGGUAAAACUUAUAUCAAAAUAGGUAAAAUUAAGAAGAAACAUAAGCAUGAAACAAAUUAUUGAGAAGUAAAAGAAACAAAUUCAUCACUGAAAAUGAAUUGAAAGAGAUGGAAAGGAAUUAGAAUCGAACCAGAUGGUGCAACAAUGGAAAAAUCUAAUCAAAUGAGAUUAUUCUUGAGCUAUGUAAUUGGGCUAGUACAUGUUUAAGUAAUAUUCAUUAUUCUUGCGGUUUGGUUUGGUACUUGAGAUGCAAACCGCAAACCAAACCGAACCGCGCGGUUCAGUGUAAAAGUCAUCCGAGUUCAUUCGAACCAAGUGCAGUUUUUUGCGGUUUCGGUUUGGAUUGGUUUGGUUUGCGGUUUUUCUAUUGGGUUCGUUCGGUUUUGAACACCCCUAGUUUUGAUCGAUGUUUCCUGAAGAUAUGUUUUGGUAAUUGAACUAAAUAAACUGUCUUACAUUCUUCAAUUAAUGAGAUUAAAUUUCCUUUUUACAAAUAUCAAUGAUUAAUGUCAAGGACUAAAAUGAUGAUUAGUGUCGCGCCAUUUUUCGGAGGUCAAGGCCAUUUGAUUAGCUUUUGACUCACUUUUUAUCUCACGACUGAACAAAAAAUUUUUUAAAGGGGAAAAAGUUUCAAACCACCCAUUUUGAAAAGAUUUAGGGUUCAUGGGUUGGUUAUAUUUAGGGAAGGUAUUAGCACCCUAAAUAUUCGUAGUACUCUAUGAGUACCUCUUGAUUUUAUUUAACUUUUUGUGCUUAAACUUGCUUGCUUUUGAAGAGAUGAAAAUAGAAUUGAAAGAUGAGUUGAAACGAAAAAGAAAAUUGAUUUUAAUUGAAAAGAAAAAAGAAAAUUGUUUUUUAGUUGAUUUGGAAGGACAAGGUCCUCUGCCUACGUACCCGUGAGGGAUCAAAACCUCGUAGUUCGGGGUAGAAAUUGACGUUUGAUUGGUUUUAUAUUUUUUAUUAGUUUUUGAAAAAAGGUUUGAAAUAAAAAGCCAAGUGGCAAAUGAGAAUUGAUUUGUGUUUUUUGGAUUGAAGGAAAUAGACUUGAAGUAGAAUUAAAAUUGAUUUGAGAUUUGAUUAAGAAAGAAAAUAGAAAUAGCGAUCACUUCAUUGAAAGUCAAGGUUUGUUAUAAAAAUAUUUUUUUGUGAUUUUUUGAUAUUUGGAUGUUUUUGCCGUUUUUGAAUAAUGAAUGAAAAUUAAACUAACAGAGCAAUGAAAAUAAAAGUGCGUGGGCGUGAAGAAAAGAUUUUGGUUUAUGUUAGUUCGACAAUAUAAAUAGUAUUUAAUAUAUGUUGUGUUCACUUUGGAUAUUAUCGGACAAAAUUUUGACAAUAAUAAAAAUAAUAAUAGUAAAAUAGAAUAAAAAAUAGAAAGACUAAAGUGAAUCAAAAUGAGAUAAAAAGAUAAAUAUUUAAAACGGAUUUAAAGUUAAUAAAAGAUGGAAACUAAAAUUAAAUGAAAUUUGAAAAUUGAGAGAAGAGGGUCCGACUUGGAACCAAAUAUGAGGUAUUUUAAAAUACCUUCCUAUCGAAAUUUUGUUCGAAAGGCUGAGACCGGUCGGAGUUAAAUGACACGUGUCAGUGCUGCCUUAGGUCAAAAAUUGGGGUAUGACAAUUAGCUCAAUAAUUAAUUAUUGUGAUUUCUUCAUUUUAUAUUUAUAUUUAAGAAUAAAAAAAAAAAAAUGACGAUAUCAACUUUGACACAUUACAUAUUCAAUCAAUGUUGACUUGACCAUCAAUGCUACAUAUCCGGAUGUAAGAGUAGUUCGACGAGUUUAUUUUUGUCACUUUUGUUGAUAUUUUGUUGGUUUAUGCUAUUAACUUGCAUCUAGUAAACUUGUUCAUAGCUUCAUCAUUUUCAGUUUUAGUGACAUGAUAUUUGUGUUGUAUUCAAUGUGAUUUACCGCGCGAUAUGAAUAAUAUAUAUUUUUAGUCAAAAUUAAUCAUGUCGGACCUGAGAUCUUUGGUUUGAUGGCGUUGAACGACCUUUGAGUAAGACAAUGUUAAACCAAAAUGAGUUUUAUACAAUGCCUCUGAAGUUUUGAUAAUAACAAAGUAUAAAAAGAACAAUUGAAUAUGCCAAUGUUGUUCAAGUAUGCUCGACCAUAUAUUAAAAUUCAAAGUAUUAAAUCAAGUUUUGAUUCUGAAAGAACAAGAUUAUGAACAUAUACAAGAGCAUCUGCAACUUAUGAGAAGCUGGAAAUUUGGAUCAGACUCUGAAUAAGUAAGACUGUGAAAGUCGGGAGUGUAACACCCUGAACCCCACAUACUAUUUUUAAAAGUAAUAAUUCAACAUUUAAAUAAACAUAUCAAGAUGUUACUCUUCAUUUUCAACACAUAACAAGUCUCCAUCUUAAAAUAUCAACUCACAGCGGAAAUAAGUCUCAACAACACAAAUGUCAUACAUCAUAUCUCAGAAUAAGUACAUCAUCAAAAUAAACUCAAGGUUCCUCAAACAUAAUAUGAUAACAUAAAUAAAAUCCCAACAUCCUAAUCAGAGAACCACUAGACAAGACUCCAAAAUCAAAGCGGUAAAAGAUGAGUAGGCUGCAAGCCGUCCUCGGAAACUCAUGGUAACUUUGCGUCCUCAACCUGCAAGUCUCCACCACAAGGGCGUAGGCGACCAUUUGCCAAACGUAGGGUAAGAUAUAAAUUUAACAUAGAGGAAAUAUGAACACAUAUAUAGUAUUAGGAUCGCAACAUCAUAUACAAGUAUUCAUCUUAAGCAAUACCAUAUUAACAUGCAUUCUCAUUGAUUGGUAAAAUAUACACAACAAAUCUCAAAUCAUCAUCACAAGAAUAUAAAAAAGUAAACACAUCAUUGAUUAAUCAUCCAAUGGAAUACAUAGGAUUCACACAUUAUCACUUUCAUUAAAUCACACAUUUUCCAUAAAAUACACAUAGUCAUGUAUGCAUCUUUCACAUAGAUUCACAUAGUCAAGUACUCAUCUUCUACAUAGACUCUCAUGUACGAAAUGUUCCUACUCGACUUUAUAUGCAUGUGGUACUGUUUUCGAUAUCAGAGGUAUUUUCUGAGUGAUUUCACCGUCACUUGGACUGACCAUGAAUGCAUGAACAUCUCAUCAUGACUCGACAAUGCAUAAUUCAUAUAACUCGACAAUUUACAUCAACAACAUCAUCACAUCGUAUAUUAAUUCAUCGUCGCUAUAUCAUCAUCAUCAUCAUCAUCAUCAUCAUCAUCAUUUUCAAUGUCAUUAUAUCAUCAUCAUCAUCAUCAUAUCAACAUCUAUAUAUAGUUCAAAUCAUCAUGUCAAACCAUAUCAAUAUGUAUCCACCUCGUCUCGCAAUCACAUUCACAGUCAUCAUCAUUAUAUAUUCAUAAGACAUUAUUCUACAUCAUCAAGUAUACUUCGUUAAUCAUCUAACAAGUUCACAGUCAUUUCAUGAUUCAAUUAUAAUUAAAUCACAAGUUUAUUUCUAACCAUUUCAAUUGCUAAGUUUACUUCCAUCAUAAGCUAGGUUAAUUACUCUUACACAUCAAAAUUAUACUUCUAUUAAUCAAGUUUAGAGGUUUGUGACAUAUUCACAUGCAUUGGAUACCUUAAAAUACCAAAAAUAUGAGUUUCCCACUAUAGGGAGGGUUGCACGGUAGUGCCAUCCAGGUGCACAGUCGUGCUCAUCAUGCAGGUAGGGAAAAGCUAUAAUUUUUGCGUUUUGCUCAGGAAGAACCCCUUUCAACACCAUUUUUCGAUCCAAUUCACACCAAACUAGACCCAAAUCAUAAAACUAAUGUUGUCUAAUCAAUUACACAUUAAUUUUACCUUAACUAACUUUAUUAUACUCAUUAUUAUCGUCAAUUAACAUGAACUUCAAUUGUUUUAAACUUAUCACUUCAAACCCAUUUUUAACAUGGUAAUUCAAACCCCAAACAUAGUAACAACCAAAUCAACAUCCCUUAUUCAAAAUGAACACAAAAAAAUUCAUCAAUUCACAUUAUAAACAUCAACUCAACAAUUAUCAACAAUUAUCAUGAAUUUCACCAAUUUCACAUAAAACUCAAAAACCCUAAUUCACCAUAAUCAAACAUUGAUUUUAACACAACUGUUAGGUUUGUAGUCUUGACAUGUUGGUGCGACAUCAUAGCGUGCCUUGUUCCGAUUUCUUGGAGAUUGUAUUUAAAUGUGAAAUCGCAGAAGAAAACUAAACGCAUCACAACUAAGAAAAGGUAGAAUAAAACCUUUCUACAAACAAAGCGCACAUCACUUGAAAGCAAAAUAAAUACGCAACUAAAUUUCAAAAAAGAUAUGCAUAAAUUAUCAUAGAAUAAGGCACCAAGUAACACGUUCUUACGUCUCAGAUUACCAAAUGGCUCUCCGAAAAAUAACCAGAGUAUGAUAAAAUUACAGAUUUCCCAAAACAAAAGGAACAUAAACUAAAAUACAAAGCACGAAAACAAAGAAGACACAACAACAUAACUCUUCAUCCACUAACUUUCCAUCAACCAAAAUCUUGGAGGGGUCCAGCUCGCUCACAUUAUCAUCAGGGUUAAAAUGCAGAACUUGCGCCCUAGUAUGCUCAAAGCCAUUGUCAAAAUAUAAGGCAAGAUCCCCCUUGCCAUCCUCAACGACGAAUUGAGCUUUGGCGAGAUCCCCUUACAACUAGACGACCUUCUUCUUCCAUGAAUCUCUCUCCAGCUCAACAACUUCUUUUUCAUCCUUCAUAUCUUUGGUCGUCUUCUCUGCAGUCUUCUUAUCCUCCAAGGCUUCCUUCAACCUACUUUCAAGACCCGUUGCUUUAUGCUUCCACUUCUCCACAUCUUCAUGAGCGUCUUUAUACUUUGCCUCUAAAGCACCAUGUUUCUUCUCCAUCACUUUUCCUAAUAAAAGGACCCGGAGCACUAAUAUUCUUGUAUCCAUUACUAGCUCGCCAAAUUUGCUUUUAACGCCAGCAUCAACGUCAACCUUAGACAGUGGCACUUUAUCCUCCAUGUAGCUACGAUAAACGCAUGACUUAAAAGUUGAAAACCCACUAACAUUACUAGAAUUUAAGUAAAAUCUCAUCAUCAAAUUAAACUCUCAUACCUACGAAAGUCGAAAUCUUUAUGCCAAAAAGAGUCAGCCACCUGAACAUUCAGAGAAAUGGUUCCCGCCACCCCGCUAGCAUAAUCAUCAUCCUUCCGACUGGCAACAAAUGUCCGCUUCGAGUCGCCCUUCCCAGUCCUCAUCUUCUUGCGUCUGGGCGAGUCAGUUUGCUCAGCCAGUACCCCAUUGCCUGCCGUCUCCAUGUUAUCAAUGUCCAUAUCCGAAUGUAACAUCCUAAAAUUUUAAGUCUAUAUUCAAAUGUAGUUAAAAAUAUAAAACAUAAUAGUGUAAUUAUUUUAAAAUACGCGAAGAUAAAAAUAAAGACAAAUAAAUAUGAUAUAAUUUCUUAUUAAUAAUUAAAUUUUAUUGGAUAAAAAGAAAAGGAGAAAGAAAGAAAAACAAAAAUAAAGGGAGUGCAAAUAACAAUUAUUUUUAGAAAAGAAAAAAAAAGUUAUAUACUUUCUCGAAUUUUUUUUCUGCCCUUGUUUAUGCAAAAAAAUACAAAAAUGCCCCACUUUUUCGAAAAAUUGCGUAAAUGCCCUACUUUUUCAGAAGCCCCUGGUACUACUCCACUUGGAGUUGCGGGGUACCCUAAAAAGUCACAAUUUUUUUGUCCUUAUUGUACGCCGCUACUUGGACUUGCGGGGUACUUUCCUACUUUUUUUUUUCCACUUUUUUUACUACCCCGCGAGUCUUAGCUUUUGCUUUUUUUUUUAAAAUUUUUUUUUUUUAAAUACCCCUCUACUUGGAGUAGAGUGGUAUAAUGAAGACAAAAAAAAUUCAACGUGUAAUAAUUACUCUCAAAUAAUAAAAAACUAAUUAAAAUUAUAUAACCAAUAAAAUACCAUCUACAAUGAUUAUAAAUGCCCGGCUGUCCCACACCUUCGUCUUCGACGAUCUCUUCCGCGAUUUACUUGAGGGUUAUGUUGGUCUUCGUCAUUUUUAUUUGUAGUUGAUUGUAUCUGACUACCAUAACCCAGUGACAACGACACAUCGUGUUCUCUUGUUGGCCAUCCCAUAUCCAGAAAUUGUUCAUUGGAGUUCAACGAAGUCGGAGAGAAGUGAGAUAAUAGGUUUGUUGGUGUUGGUGGGUGGUUGUAGUUUUGGUUGGUGUACAUUGGGUAUUGUGGGUUGUUGUAGGGGGGUAAUUGGUGUUGGACGGUCCAGCUUGGUUUGGGUCAUUAUAGGAGAAGUAGUUGUUGUUGGAUGUGUUAGCUUGGUUUGGUUCAUUGUAACCAUAAUUUGUCAUUGAAUUUUGUUGGUAAGUUGACUGAUAUUGGGGCUCAUAUGCAUUUCUCGGGGAGGUAUAUGGUGGUGGUUGGAUGAUAUUUUGUUGGGGGGUGUCGAGAAAUUCAUACAUUACAGAACCAUGAAUGUUUUGUGUUGUAUGUGGUUGGGAUUGAUGAUCUUGUAGUUGAGAAAAAAUGUCUUGAUCCCAAAAAUCAUCAUGAAUUGGUGUUUGGUUGUUGUGAAUUUCAGGUUCAUGUUCCGGCUCCGGCUCUUCUUGUUCGUCUGGAUCUGAAUCUGAUGGUUUUGUCUCAACUGAAAUCCUUAGACGUGGGUUGCAUGUGGUUGUCAACCACUCAAUAUACGCAUGAGUUGGGGUGAGUGAUCUUGGCCGCAUGUGAGGUAAAAUAUAACUCCGUCGGUUGUCCCAAUGUAAGCUCUCUUGUGGAAAGUGAAAACCAUUUGAUUGGUACCACAUCUUGAACCGUUUGUCCACUAUAUGGAAUUGUCGCAUGUCUCGUGGGGCCCCUGGUAUUUCCUGUGGCAAACCAAAUUCUAGCUUGACCCUAUCAGUUGGAUGCCAUUCAACUCUGUCAAAACAUAUAAGGUGAGUUGUUGCAGUCCACUCCCAAUAGUCUUCAGGAAAAUUGUGUGGAACAUUCUUGUAUGGUCUCCAUUUAAACUGGCAGAAGAGAGAAGUUGUAGUGUAAGGUUAACAAUUUUGAUAUAUAUAUAUAUAUAUAUAUAUAUAUAUAUAUAUAGUUCGAUAGGUGAAAUAUAUAUUCAUUAUUAAUUAAAUAACUCCUAAUUAAAUACUUGUAAAAAAACUCAUGAUUAAAUAAAUAAUUAAUUUAUAAUCGCGACAUUUUUUUAGUCCUAUAUUAAUUGCAUGUCCUACUUUUUUUUUUCUUACAAAAGAAAGUUAACAUAUAGCUUUUUAUUUCUUUACGACCAUGAAAGUGUUAAUAUGUAGCUUAAAUAACAAAAUAUCUUAAUUAUAUUUAAUUAGACCAUGAAAGUUAGUUUACCCUUGAAAUUACAUAAAAAAAAAAUUACCGUUCAAUAUAUAUAUAUAUAUAUAUAUAUAUAUAUAUAUAUAUAUAAACUCAUACAUUCAAAAAUCAAUUAUAAUAUUACUUGAUGUUCCAGUAUGUCAUCAAACUUUUUUCUGUAAGAUAUAGUGUCAUGGCUUGGAUUCUCGUAGUAUCUUGAACCUGCACCUGUCCAUCUAACAAAUGAUAUAAACAAAUUAGUAGCUAAUUUAUCAAAUAAUAAUAUUAAUAAGAAGCGAGAAUAUGCGAGGAAAUUAACAAAAAAAAUAAAUAAAUUAAUUGACCACGAUUACUUUAAUCCUAGCGGCUACUGGAGUGGGUUAUCAUUUCUCGGAGCGAUAUAACUCAACCGACAAUAUCCCCAAACUUGUAACAGAAAAUGACAUCCAGAUAGUGCUUUUAUAUUUGGGUGUGAUGCCUCACACAAGCCACGAUAAAGGUAAGCCAAAACUGCCGAUCCCCAACUAUAAUUUCUUGUUUCAUUAAAAUCCAUUAACAAAUACAACCAAGAGUUGUGCACAAAUAAUCCAGUUGUAUUAGGAAACAAGAACCCUCCAAAGAGGUAUAGUAGGUACCUCCUGUGUGUUGUAUUUUUACCUCCGGAGGAGAUUGUUCACUGAAGUUAUUAUCGACCAGAUUAUCCUUUAAUCACGACAACGAGAGAGUAAAACCAUCAGUUUUGUGUGCUGGAGGAGUUAUUCCCAACAAUUGAGCACAAUUAUUCCACAGAAGAUUUGGAGGAGCCGUAACAAUUGGUCCUCCAAAAGGUAAGCCGAGUAAAAUAUAUACGUCUUCAAACGUGAUUGUACAUUCACCCGUUCGAAAAUGAAAAGUAUGUGUUUCGGACCGCUAUCUUUCUACAAGAGUGGUUACGAUGUGCCUAUCAAUUUUGUAACGCCCUAUUUGAGAAACCUCAAAAAAUCCAGCUUGACGUAGAUAAUCUUCAAUAUAAGGACUUGGUAUGAUGUUUUGCCGUGUACGAGUGGUUAGAGGUGCACCCUCUGCAUCCUAACAAAAAAUAAUAAAGGAAUAAAAUUAAAACAUAAUCAAAAUAUAAAUUUAAAAAAACGUGAACAUAUUUAAAUUAAUAUUAAAAAAUAAAAAUGACAUUAACAAAUUAAUAUCUAUAUAUACCCAUCUUCUUAUAUGUUCUUCCAUGGAUCUAUGAUCAUUUUCCAACCACAAGUAUGCCAUUGCUUUAUAGAAUUUGAUUGAAAUAAUCUCUUAUGUGAGUGAGUAAGGAAAGGAUUGAGAUAAGUAGAAUAUGUGUAAAGAGUAAAAAUAUAGUUGUGGUAUUUAUAAUGUAAAACUAUGUGUAAAUGGUAGAAGUAGUAGUGUGGUAUUUUAAUCAAUGAAGUGAAGAGUUCCUGUGUUACUACUGCAACGCAUGCAAGCCAACAGUGUUCAAAUAAACAUAGAAAUGACAAUUGCAUCAAUAGCAGAAGCAUGGUGUUCAACAAUAUUGAAUUAAUUCGUAAACUUUGCCUCAUGAGAUGACCAUUGCAUGUAAAAAAUACAUUAAUUUCUUGCAAGAAAUUUUUGACUGAAAUGACCAAUGCAUGUUUUGAUCACGUGAAGCAUGCUAGCAAACAAAUGGCCGACAAGCUGCCUCUGAAUAACCAAUAGGAACGGCGCGUGCAAAUACUACCCCGCCACUCUGGGUUGCGUGGUACCCCCAGCUGGCGCAUGCUUUACAUACCCCGCCACUCCAGCUUGCGUGGUACCCCCCAGCUGGCGCGUGCUUUACCUACCCCGCUACUCUAGCUUGCGUGGUACCCUCUAGCCCGCUAGUCCAAACUGCGUUGUACCUUUUUUAAUUUUCCCGCUCGAAGGGCAGAUUAAAUUACAUGUUAGUAUAAAUAAAAGUGGUCUGCAUGAUAUCAUUGUAUCAAACCAUUCUACUUCAUACUCUUACUCAUUUCUUAAGAUCAAACCAAUUCAAUGGCACCAAAUAUAAACGUUUUUGUGUACUAUAAUGGAGAAGUUAAACAAAAUGAAUCCGGUAUUUUUUUUCAAAGUCAGUAUACCAAAGGUUUUAAAGUCAGCAUGGCUAGUACUUACUUGCAUCUCAAAAGAAGAAUUGCGGAAAAAGUAUGUCUCGAAGAUAAUAUGGUUGUGUCUGAAAUUAUGUGUCGGAAUCCUAUGUUUGUUGGAACUACCACAAUUCAUUACCAGGCGUUAAGAAUAACUGAUAACGACGAUGUCGAGUUUAUGUUUAACGUACAUAAAAGUCACAGUUCUUUGUCCUAUAUAGAGCUUUAUGUUACGUUUGAGAUGAAGAAUCCAACAUCUAAUUUUGAGUUAAAUUACCCAUCGAGUUCUAGUCAACACCAAAGUCUACCACAACACUACAAUCCGUCAUCGUCGCAAGAACACUACAACCCAUCAUCGUCCCAACCGCACUAUAACCCGUCUCCCAUUUAUGAUGCAUCCUUAUCGCAACCUUUUCAGUCAAAGUGGUCACAAAAUGUGUACGAACCAUCACAAAUAAUAACUCAACCUCAUCCCUCUCAAACACCAUCUCGUUCAACACAACCCAAAACCUUAAACGAUGAAAUCAAUAUAUUCACCUCCCAAUUUCAAGACCAACCAAAUGAUGAAGUUCAAGAUGAUGAAGACGAUGAUGAUGAAGAACUCCUUGCCGCACAAAACGGUGACGAGAACGAAGAAGACGAAGACGACGAUCUGCCACUACUACCAAUUUUACCAAUCAGAGCUUCUUACAACCCACCAAGGUCCAUGCGCAACGUCAAUGAUGACCACUCAACUGAACUUUAUCAUUCAAUGGCUCUUCCGGUCGAUCAAGGUAUUGCCCUAGGGAUGCAAUUUCAUAACAAGAAUGAUUGCAUUCUCGCAAUUAAAUUUUAUCACAUGAAAAAAUCAACGGAUUAUAUUGUGAAAAAAUCAGAUCCUGAAAGGUAUGUCAUCAAAUGUAAAGAUACAAAAUGUGGUUUCAAAUUGCGGGCCUCGUGGAGGAAAAAAACUGAUAAAUGGGAGAUUGGGAAAAUGAAUGAUCAUACAUGUGUCUCAACAGAAAUGACGCAAGAUCAUCAUAAACUUAGUUACAAUGUGAUAUGUGAAAGUGUUAAAUCACUACUACAUAUGGAUACUUCAAUUACAGUGAAGGUUAUAAUUGCACACAUCCGAGAGAAGUUUAAUUACACAGUUUCAUACAGAAAGGCAUGGAGAGCACGGAAUAAGGCGAUUAAAUCAAUUUAUAGUAAUUGGGAGGAGUCUUAUGAAGAACUACCACAAUGGUUGAUGGUCAUGGAAAAAGAUUUGCCAGGAACAAUAAUUGAUUUUCAAACGGACCCAUCAACAGAAGUGGCAAAUGAGACCGUCUUCAAGCGUCUUUUUUGGGCCUUUCGUCCGUGCAUCUCAGGUUUCGAAUUCUGCAAACCAAUUGUCCAAAUUGACGCAACUUGGUUGUAUGGUAAAUACAAGGGAACAUUGUUGUUAGCUGUUGCGCAAGAUGGGAACAACAAGAUAUUUCCCAUAGCUUUUGCAAUCGUGGAAGGCGAGACCAAGGAGGCAUGGAGUUUCUUUUUGAAAAAUUUAAGGCAGCAUGUCACCCCACAAGAGAACAUAUGCCUCAUUUCUGAUAGACAUGUGUCGAUAAAGAGCGCGUAUGAUGAUCCACAGAAUGGAUGGCACGAUGCUCCGACAAGCCAUGUUUAUUGUGUCCGACACAUUGCACAAAACUUUAUGAGAUCAUUCAAGGAUGGAGAACUAAAGAAGAAAGUUGAAUGCAUGGGUAAAAAUCAUAUCUCUUUCCACGUAAAUUCGACAUUUUAUUUGUUUAAAAUGACACAUCUAACUUUUUUCAAAACAAUGCAGGUUACGCCAUGAACAUCCCUACAUUCGAAUACUACCGUUCUGAAAUUGCUGUUGCAGACCGAAAGGCUUUAGCAUGGGUCGACAAUAUUCCCAAACAAAAGUGGACUCAAUCACAUGAUGAUGGUCGACGAUGGGGCCAUAUGACAAGUAACUUGGUAGAGUCACAAAACAACGUGUAUAAGGGUAUUCGAGGACUUCCGAUCACAGCUAUCGUGAAAGCAUCAUAUUACAGGUUGGCGGCCUUGUUUGCUAAAAGAGGACAUGAGGCAGCGGCAAGGGUAAAUUCUGGUGAGCCAUUCUCAGAAAACAGCAUGAAAUAUCUCAGGAAUGAGGUGAUUAAAUCCAACAGUCAUCAUGUCACACAGUUUGACCGGGAUCGGUAUACCUUUUCCGUCCGUGAAACCAUCGACCAUAAAGAAGGAUUGCCAAAGGGAGAAUACAAGGUGGACCUGCAAAAUAAAUGGUGUGACUGUGGACGAUUCAGAGCGUUACACCUACCAUGCUCACAUGUCAUUGCCGCAUGUUCUAGCUUUUCUCACGACUACAAGACUUUUGUCGAUAACAAAUUCACGAAUGAGUGUGUAUACGCCGUAUACAACAUCCACUUCGACGUGGUUCACCACCAGACAUAUUGGCCUAAUUAUGAAGGACUGAAGGUGGUUCCCAACAAGUCCAUGUGUAGGGUAAAGAAAGGUCGUCCACCAAUUACUCGCAUUAGGACCGAGAUGGACGAUGUGGAAACUGAGAGAAGAUGCGGCGUUUGUAGGAUGCCUGGUCAUUCCCGCAAAGAUUGCAUUAAUAUUAGACACCAGUAAAAAUCUAGUCUUUAUUUCGUUUGUAGGAUGUAUGGUCAUUUCCACAAAUAAUUGUAGAUUUUAUGGUAUUUUAUUGGUUAUAUAAUUUUAAUUAGUUUUUUAUUAUUUGAGAGUAAUUAUUACACGUUGAAUUUUUAUUUUUUUUUGUCUUCAUUAUACCACUAUACUCCAAGUAUUUAAAUUUUUUUUUAAAAAAAGCAAAAGCUAAAACGCAAGUCCAACUUGCGGGGUAGUAAAAAAAGUGGAAAAAAAAAAGGAAAGUACCCCGCAAGUCCAAGUAACGGGGUACAAUAAGGACAAAAAAUUUGUGACUUUUUAGGGUACCCCACAACUCCAAGUGGAGUGGUACCAGGGGCUUAUGAAAAAGUAGGGCAUUUGCGCAAUUUUUCGAAAAAGUGGGGCAUUUUUUUAUUAUCUUUGCAUAAACAAAGGCAGAAAAAAAAAAUUCUACUUUCUCCCCACGUUUUCUCAAAAUUUGUUUCUAAAAUAAUAAUAAAAAAAGAAAUAGUUAUUUCAGAAAGAGAAACCGUGUGAUAUUUUUUAAUUAGUGUACACCUACACUUCUCAUGUGCCUAUAAAUAAGAUGCUUAGUUGAACAUAAACUCACACUACAAAACUCUCCUCUCUCUAAAAAAUCAGGUUAGUUCUCUCUCUCUCUCUCUCUCUCUCUCCUUUUCUGAACUUUCUCUAUUCAAUCUAUAGUCAUUCUUUAUUCUUUUGAAAGAGACAAGAUUUACUACUAAAAUAACCUCAGAUUUGGUCCCCACAACCCUUCUUUUGGGAAGAACAACAACAUAGUAUACCCUUCUUUUGGGAAGAACAACAACAUAGUAUUAGAAUGUUCUUUUAUCAGAUGAGAAAGUGACAGUAGUUUAGUUCUUUUCAACCUAAUCAAACCAUGAAAAUAGUUUAGCUCUUUUCAACCAUUCUUUUUCAACAGAAACAUCAUUCAAUAAAAUAAAAUAAAGAGAUCUCAGAUCUGUUUUAGACUUUUAGUAGAAAAAAUUACACGAUUUAAUUAUUGUAUUUUUUAUACUGAUACAAACUAUGAAGAUUGAAACAAAGUUCAUAAGAAAGUUGAGAUCUUGUUUAAUUCAUAUUUUUAGUUUAAAGAAAAAUAAAGAAAUGAACAUUGUUUUAAGAAUGACGUAAUGACUAUUAAAUGGCUUUUAAACAUUCUGACUAUAUAAAAAGGUAGUAACAUAAGUUUCAUUUGAAAUAAAAUAAAAUCAAGCUAUUAUUAAAAUAUAUCUAAUAUAAUCUGAAGAAAAAAAAAGGACGUGAUACAGAGAAACAAAGGAAUUAGAAAACUUUAACUCGUUAUCUCUAUUAUUAUGACCUUGAUAAUGACUAUAGUCUAAUAGAUAGUUUAUUUUGGGUGAGUAUUCUAGGUGAUAUUGGAGCUGCUUUCGACGGAAACAAUAUUGCAACCACUUGCGAAGAAUCCGAAGGUAAGGGGAAUUACUACUAAUAAAUUUUAAAGAUUUUGCAUAAGUUAUGUGCUUAAGUGAUUAUAUGUGAGUAAAUAACUCUACUUGUGAGAGUUAAUUUCUCGAUGAUGUGGUAAUUUCUAGCGAUCAAGUACAUGUCAAAGGACAUCGACUUAUAUGUGUUUUAGUUAAUAUAAUUAGGAGUUUUUGAAAAUAUAAUACAUAAGUAGAAGAAAAAGUUUUGUAAAUGAUGAAUUGAUUAGAUAGUUAUAUUAUGUUUAUUUGGUAUUACUCUUGUGUAAGUGAAUGAGCAUAUGAAUUUCAAUAAGUGUUAACUGAUUUCGAUGAGUGAAAUUAGUUGGAAAUAUAUGAUUUAAAGUGUCAAUUAUGAUUCGACGCGAUAAUUUAUAAUGUUAAUCAUGAUUAAAAACUUCUCUAUAAAAAGAAAUGAUCUAAGAGAGAUAGUUGUAUCCCACCUCAUUAAUUUUAUGGUAUCAACUCAUAGGUAUGUUGUAAAGGAAAGAAACUUAAGAAUGCCAAACUAUGAUCACUAACUUAGUACGUAGACAUAGUAUAUAUAGUUAUAUUGUACGUGUAGGAAAUUCUUUAAAACAAAUGUAUAUGUGCUUUUUAACUAGGCAACAUGAAUUAUUCUUUGUUAAAAUCUCAUGAAUAAAAAGAACAUGUACUAGUUUAAUUGAAUUACCUAAGUUCUUACUUACUGCUGAAAUUUCUAUGCUUAUAAAUAAAUGAAAAAGAACAUAUGCUGGUCAUUAAUUGUUCAGUUAUUAUGUACUGGCUUGAUUUACUUGCUGGAAUUUCUAUGCUUAUACAUAAAUGAAGAGGGACAUAUGCUGGUUAUUAUUUGUUGAGUUAUUAUAUACUGGUUUGAUUUACAUCACUGUACUAAUUGAAUAAAAUUCUGAUGUGGCUAAUCAAUUUUAUAAACAUAAAUGGUUAAUUGUUUGACAUUGUUGAGUUGAAUAUGAGUGUUUUGUCUUGUCUAGAAAGUAGGGACAAUUAAGGAGCUAUAACAGGUCCCUAUACACUCAGGUGUAGAUGAGAAUGAGGAUAGUUAUGGUUUGGUUACUUUGAGGAUCUAUCGAGGGCACUUGUGUUUCGAACGCCUAUCAAUAGUUGGGGAUUGCUUCCCGGCUGAAAGUACUCGUACUACCAGACACGGUGAGCCUGAAAAAACUAGACUAUCUAUGAUAAGGUAGUGCGAUCGGACUAGAAUGAUUAGAGUUUAAGCAUAUCUUGCUCAAAAUACUAAUAAUCAUGAUAUAGUUGCCGAAACGGCCUUAUGCUCAUUAGAGUGGAACCUCCAUGGAGUAGUGAAUUAUGAGAAGAAAAUAAACUAGAGUCAAGAAAAAAAAAGUCAAAAGAGUUCAUGCAUGUGUCAUGUUGAAUGUCAAACUAUUAAUUCAAAUUGGACCUCUUAAAAGAUAGUUUUUUUUUUUUUUUUUUUAUAAUAUGCUUUGUGAUUGUUGUUGGACAGUGAAUGAAAAGAAAAUAUUAUAUCUAUGUAAAUAUCAUUUUACCUUGCUGUAUAUAUAUUAUUUUCUUUUUCCUUAUGUAAUAAAUCACGUGGAAAACUUGUGUACGAGUAAUUCACCCUUCUUUGUUUGUUUUUGUAUCUUGUUGUUUUUUUUGGGUAUGUUCGGACGUUUUUAUAGAUGAUGCCAGAAAGACAUUUAGCUCACUCGGGAACCCGCAUGAUCGAGUUCCUUGAGGUAUUUUCUUUUGCAACACUUAUUAAAGAAGAAAGUAAUAAUAAAUCAAAACACUCACACAAAGACGCCUCAAGACUAUUGGAAUCACCCUAUCGUAUCAAAAGCUCAUGAAUAUCCAUAAGUAAAAACUUCUCCAAAAAGAACACCAUACCCUACUCAUAGGGUGCCAUCUUAUUAAAAUCAUACCCCAUCACUGCAAUCGGAGCAAUGAUCCAACAUAAAGGAAACUUUGGUUUUCCUUCCACCAUCACCAACGAAGUUGAGCCCUCAGGCUCUCCUUGCACCCUAACAAACGAAUCACACCAAUCCUUCUUAAAGUUAGAAGCAUAAGGAGGGAAAAGUUUUUUACUAGGAUAGGCACUAAUUGAAACCCACAUUCCCUUGUUUACAUCUUUCGUCCUAUAAAAAUGGAAGAAGACGCCAACAGAAGGCUCCAAACUCAUCCUUACAAAGUAGUUUGAAUCCACGAAUAAACGCCUAGCUAUUAGGACGUAUUUGCGAAGGCGCCACAUUCAGAAACUUUAGCACAUCCAUCUCAAAAUCCGUAAAGGGUCGUCACCCCAAACUCUUCCAACACCGUCAUAUACAUAAGAAAGGAAUCAUCCCUGACACCCUCCAAACGCUGAUCGCACACUCUCUCGCCUACAUCACAGGGCGACACUGUCACAUCUUUCUCGUUCUCAGUAGCAGAAGUAUCCAUCUUGUUUCAGAAUAAAUUGAUAUCCGAAGGCGACAUAUAUGAAAACACCGCUCGAAGAACUUCUUCAGCUAAAUGAUUCAUCUCCAACUCAUAAGAAUACGUCAAACACAUAAUCUCUUUUUGAGUAGACGGAAGAGGCAUAUAAUGACAAAUCUCUUGACAAGUUUUCCCCCUACGACAAAUCACUAUCACUACCAUUAGAGCUAUCGCUACUAGUGUUGCUAUCAUUGGACAAUUCCCCUAAAACCCUACGAUAAAAAAGCCCUAAUUCGUAAGCUUCCCAAUCAAUCAAGUCAUUAGGAUGUGUUGCAUGUCUUAAAGAAUCUCUCCUCAGUUGGUCUCUCUCAUCAAAAUUCGUAGGAGAGAAGGCGAAAAAUGAGAGAAGGAAAAUGGAAGAGUACUUGAGAAGAUUGAAAACGUGAGCUUAGAAAUCCAGACAAUCAGCUGGCAAGUGCGCGAAUACGGAGAACUAAAAGGCGAAAAAUGCGGAAGUGAAAUGAGGAAAGGAAGGAAAUGAAGGGUCAAAGAGUUUUAGAGGACAACAACAAUUAAAACCCCCUCAAAAAACACGCUCAUCCUUGGCACGAUUGGAGACACGUGUCAAGAUACACCCAGAUUCGAACACGUCACUAUCAUCGAAAGGUCACACAUUUUGGACCAUACAAUCAUGUUAAAAAUGAAAGAUCUCGUCGAUAUAGAAUUUCAAAAAACUCGUUGCCAACUCCUCAAACAGGAAACUUACUCGCCGUGCUGUUACAAAUCACUUCGCCUUGUCCCAAGACUCGUGGUUGGGGGCUGUGAACAAACAUCAGGCAUAAAACGCAUGACUCGACUAGCACACACCCUAGGGGGCUCUAGGAUAAAGCAUAAUCACCCAAGGGGGACUCUGUAAGCUCCAACAACAACAUCCAAAGACAUACACAAAAAAUACUGAUAAACGUAAAAUAAAUUCCAAAUGCUAAUUAAUCAUUUCGCCUUGUCCCAAGACUCGUGCUUAGGAGGCUUUGGACCGUCAAUAUCUUCUUAAGGACCUAGAAGUCCUCCCAAAGGGCAUUUAGACCCUCCUAGAUGCCUAACACCCUUCAAAAGGGCUCUAAGGCCCAACACGCGCCCUUCCUAGGGAGCCGCCUCUACCAGCUUCUAAAACCUCCAAAGCUCGGCCUAAAUACCUAAUACGAUUACAAACCCUAAUACCUCAUUACGUAUAGCUUAAGAACCAUAAAUCAGGCCAAUAGAGGGCUAUAAAUACAACCUUUGAGAGCCUUCUGAAGGCAUGACCAAUACAUUACAAACCCUAAUACGAUUAUUGUACUUUUGCAAGUACAAUGAGGAAGGCGAUAUUGACAGGGAAAGUUUCCACCUAAUUUGGGCUAAAAACAUGGACUUUUGGGGGUAAAAAAGUCACAAAAAGUGACUUUUUUCGCAAGGAGCAGGGCGCCUAGCGCAUAAUGGCAUGCACCUAGCUCAUGUUCCUGCUAGGCUGAGGCGCCUAGUGCCCCUUUCAUGCGCCAGACGCUUCAGUUGUUUAGCUUAGGGGCACCUAUUGUGCACCUGGGUGCAUAAGUGCCUUUUCAGUGCCUUUUCAGUGCUGUUUUUCUUGUUUUCUUUGCCUUUUGAGGUGUUUUCUUCAAUGUAAGAUGUCUUGGAACUUGAGAACAAAAUUCCUUCCUUUGUAAAGACUUCUGAGGCAUCUUGAAUCUUCAUUAUUCAUCUUCCCAAGGUCCACAUAAAUCUUCAAAUGUCUUGCAUUGUCUGAUUUGCUUGAUUUCUUCGUGAAUUACUUCAACAACACCCUAAAAUUGCUAUUUUUCAGGAAGAAUAGAAUUACAAACUCAAUAUAAAAUACAUUACAAAUGUACCGAAAUCAUAGGCAAUUGAUCAAAUACUCUUCUUCUUUGCUGGUAAAACCUACUGAAAUUGACUGAAAAAUGUAACAGCCCUAUUUUCGUUAGAUUUAUUUUAAUUGUUUUAAUAUGUGUUUAUUUAUGCUUAUGUGUGAUUAUUAUCAUUGGGUGCAUUUUUAUGGGUUUUCGUGUUGGAAGGAUAAUUUAGUAAUUUCAUGUAAGGAUUAUUUUUAGUGUUUCAAGUGAGAACCAUUAUUUACUAAGUUACUAGUGUGGUAAUUAGUUGUGAGCCGGUAAGUGAUCGUUGUUAUUAUUUUACCGUUAAGGGAGUAGAAACAUUUUAGAAUUAGUGAAUUAGUGGGUUAAGCCCACUAAGGCAUUAGGGUUAAACCCAAUUGAGAAGAGCCUAUAUAAGUUCUAGAUUUUAGAGAAAAAUAGGUUUCCACUUCAUUUCAUAAGAAUUUUGAGAGAGGUAGAGAUAGAAAGUUCAAGAGAAGAGGAAAAUGGUUAGAAGGGAGAAAAGCUUGAAGACUCAAGAGGUGAUAGAGAUUCUAGGACCUAAAUUGAAGCUUUUGCUAGGAUUUUUGCUAAUUGAGGUAAGGGGGUUAGAUUUCAAUCAUAAUAACUUAGUUGUAGCUUUUACCCUAAUUUCAUGUAUAAAUGCUUAUUUGUAUAAAGUGAUUAUUAUGAAAUUAAUUGAUGAAAUUCGUGGUUAUGCUUUGAUGUGAUGUUUGGGUAUGUGAAAUUGAUGUUAAUUAAGUUGUUGAUGAAGAAUUUACAUGCUCAAGUUAUGUAUAUAUGUAUACUUGUGUUUUUGCUCAAAAUUGAUGAAGUAUAAUGUUAUUGUUGGUGAAUUGUUGAUGAAUUCACUUCUGAUUGUUGUUGUUGUGAUUGUGAGUAGUUGUUGUUGAUGAUUGAAACCUUGGGUAAUCUUAACCAUAGAGCUUGAAGUGAGUUUCUAUUGUUCUUGAAGUUUUCAUGAAAAAUAGGUCAAAUGGUAAUUUUGUUGAAAUUAUGUUGGAUUCAAGUUUUUAUAUGGAUUUGAGUGUCUUUUCAUGUUUAGACAAACUUUGGGAUCAAAUUUGGGUAUUGGGUCAAAAUUGGGAUUUUGGGGUGAAAAAUGAGUUUUUUUUUGUAGUAGAACUCCAGAAGCCUGUCACAACUCGCCAUGGCGAGCGGGAGGCGAGCAGGAGGUGCUUCCUGUGUGUUAACUCCCCAUGGCGAGUGAUUCACUCACAGGGCGAGCUGCACAGUGACAUCAUUCCCUGUUUCGCAAUCUUGCGUCUUUUUCACAUAUUUUUGUUUUGAAUUGGUCUUUGGUAUAAAUAUGAAAGUUUUAGAUAAUUGUGUUAGCUUUCCAGUGGCGUUGGUUUGACUUGAAAAUGAUUUUUGGUUUUUGAGUUAUGAUGAAAAUACUCCAAGGAGGUCUUAGUGAAAUUUUAUGAAAAUUCCGCAUAACUAUUUCUAAGUCAACCCAAAACUUAUGGAUUGUUUCCAAACUUCAAAACUUGUGUACUAUGAGUUAAAUUAAUGUGUUUAAGAGUAUUUAAGCUACGUUGUGGUGAAUUUAACUUGGUUUUGUUUUGAAAGUGAAUUGGUUUUACAUUAUGAGUAAAGCGAUACGAACUUUGCAAAACUUUGAAUUUAAGUGAGUUGGCCUAUGGGACCUUGAUGUAUACACUAUUGCACUCAUAUGUGAUUGGUGUAUAUACUUAGUUGAGGUUUCCAAAUGUGUUUACCUUGUUUUGUCGGAUAACUUGAAAAUUGGUAAAAUGAUACGAACUUGUCGUAACCUGUGAUUUUGAUGAUUUUGUCGUAGUAGGCCGGUGAAACGCACAUGUAUAUUCAACUACACUCAUAUGUGAUCUAAGUGUAUACAUAGUCGAGGCCCUAGAGUUUAUUUACUUGGUGUUAGUUCAUUUGUCUCAAUUAUUUUAAAGUUGUAAAAUGAGAGUUGAACUUUGUCAAAAAUGGUUCUUUAAAGCCAAUUACCUUAUAAAUCUUUUGUAGAUAACUUUAUAUGACUAAAUGAAGAUAUGUGAAUGAAUUUUUAAUUGUUGAAUAUGAUAUUAUCAUAAGGUGUUGCAUUUUCUCUUUACUUGGAAUAUGAUAAGUAUUUGGAAUGGUGGAACUAUACUAUAUGGUUGAUGUUGAUUAAUAUUUAUAUAUCAAUUGAUGUUGAUGAUUACUGAUAAUUAUGAUGAAAAUGUGAUGAUGACUCUUAAUUGGAUUAUGACUUUAUUGUUGUGUGGACGUAAAUAUUUGAUAAUGCAAUUGUUGUUGAUGUUAUCCUUUAUAUUGUUGUUGAAUAUUUAUGAGGUGAUUUUGCAUUGUCAAGUCUUUCCUUGUAUGUCCAUGCAUCAUAGUCAUGUUGAGUCUUGAUGUUGUAAAGGAGGGUUACUCUUUUACUUUGGUGAUAAUGUAAGACGGGUGUGAAAUUUUACAUAUGAUGUUUUUGUUGCAUCAUGUGUGACGACCUUGAGGUGAUUUGGUACCACAUGCAUAUAUGUGUCGGGAUUAGGCACAUAUCAUAUUGGCGUGAGUCUUAAUUGAUGUAUUUGAAUGAUGAUUGAUGAUGAUAAGUGUGUUUGAUGAAUACAUACUUGUGAUAUUUAGAAUUGUUGCAUGAAUGUGUAUAUGGAAGUUAAUUGCUCAUGAUUAAUUAAUUGAUACUUGAUUUGAUUCAUUUAUGUCUAACUAUUUAUGUGGAUUAUGAUUGUUGUAAAGCUUACCCCUAGUGGUUUUGACCACCUACCUGUCUAUAUGGAUGGGUAGACGAAGUGCAAGAUUAGUCGCUUUGGUGAGUUGCUUGGUGAUUGCUUAGAUAGAGGGAGUUAUCUCCGUUAUCGUUUCCUUAGAGUCUUAGGAUAGGCUCUGAUCUAGGAUGUAUGUCUUAUGAUUAUUCUAGAUUGUUUAUUUUGGAUUUAUUUGUGUUGUGGAGAUUUACCCAAUUGUCGGAAUUUGAAGAAUUUUUAUGUUGAUGUAUUUUGACCUCAUGGCAUGUAUACUUUUGAAGUGUAUGGUUUAUAUCCGCUGCAACGGUAUAGAAUUUUUAUAUAUGCUUGUUAUUUGAACAUUGUUGAUGAUGUGGCGUCUAUUUCUUGGAUAUUUAUAUUAUUCGCGUGUUUUAUUGCUUUAAUAGAAAUAGGGCGCUACAAAAAACAUGCUAAAAAUAACGUAAGAUGUCCUGUCAUCAUACAACGAUUGAGAAAAAGAUAAAGAUUGUCUAAUACCCAAGACUUCUUACAUAACUAUUUCAUCAAAGCAGAAUAGUUCAAAAACUGGAAGGUGUGGGUUUUCAUGACCUAGGAAUACAGGUAGCUCAAGUGAUGACAACAUAAUUUAUGGGAAAUAUGAGAAUCAUCAAGUCUGUGGUAAUGUCAAAUGGAUUCUCAAUCAGAAAAGAAUGCAGAACCUUUAUCCCAGACUUUCCCUCGAUCAUCCAAGAACCAAAUACCAAAGAUCUAGCAGACCUAGUGUCACAAGCUUCUGAAGAUCUAAUCUGACAUGGACCAUGCUCCUAGGGCAUGGACCAUGCACCUAGGGUAGGGUGCGUUUCACAGUCACAUGCGCCUAGGGCAUGGAGUGUGCUCCCUGAGAACUAAAAAAGUGUGGGGCAAAAUUGAUUUUUUUUCGACUUUUGUGUUGUUAUUUUAUGUUGUGAUUUUCUCAGAUUGGAGUGGAGGUAGGAUGUGAGAGUUCAACAGAUCACCAUUUGUAUGACUGAACAGACUAUUCAGAAAAUCUGAAUCAGUGUUUUGAUAAAUGGUUUAGCUAGAGGGUAAUGAUAUAGGUGGCGAAGGAAUAAUGAUGGAUGGUACUGAAGAAAUGUUAACAUAUUAUGUAAGCUCAAGAUCAAUACCUUUUGUAUUAUGAGAUUCUUCUGCUUUGCCUGGUGAGGUUGGCUCAACGGUAGCUGUUGUGAGGUUGGCUCAACGGUAGCUGCUUCUGUGACUAGCAUGCUGACUUCUUCUGCUUGCUUCUGUUGCUUCUCUUGGUUCUCACACUCAUCUACAUCGAUGAAUAUUAGAUGACACAAAUCUUCCUUAGCAUGUACAUUCUUCUUCCUUUCUGGUGAGGGAAUGAGUGAGUGAAUAGUACCAGAGUUCCUUGUGAGCUUGGAAAAAUCCGUUUUGUAGACAGAUCACAAAGUCACAUACUCUUAAUUUGUCUCUGAGUCGGUUUUGGAUUGCCUCGUCUUUUUGGGUGCUUGAGAAACUUUCUCAUCACCUUUCCUCUUAACCUCGACUUUCUUUAACUUCUUUGUUGGAGGAGAUGUUGUGACUUUGGAUGAUUUCCUCUUAUUCUUCUUGUUGUCUGCAGUUUCUGAGUCACCAGGAGUUUAAUCCGGAAAGAACUAAUCCGCAACUAAUUACUAAUAUUUUUCAUUGAAAAAAAAUAAUUUUAAAUAAGACUGGUACCUUGGUCUGUUGUAAAUUUGUAAGAACUAAUUUGACAGACAAUGAUAUAACUCAAAGACUAAUUUAUUUGUAAGUGCAAUAAUUUUGUUACUAAUUUUUGACCGUAAAUAACACACAAGUUAGCAGAAGGACCAAGUUGUUCAAUAUAAUUCAAAAUGUGAUUGUUUUUGCCAUGGCAUCCCCCAGUUUUUCUAUAAUUACACAAGAUUCCCUUUGUCUCGAUGGUUAGGAAGUACAAUUUUCUUUUGGAUGUCUCGUGUCUGAGUCCUAAUUCCCCUCAUUUUUAUAUUUCUAUUAUAUUAUAUUUUAAAUUUUAUUAAAAAAAUGUUCUUGAGGGGGAAUCGAACACGCACCACUACACUGAAUUCUAGCAAAAAACUGACCCCUAGACCGGUUACUGAUCUGAAGAAUAUUAUGAAACAACUAAACAUAUAUUCCAUAAAUUUUGGCACCCCCAAGAUAAAAACUCAAGAUCCGCCAUUGCCUAACUCAAGGUCCUAAAUACGCCACUACCAUUAACUAUAAUUAAUAAGAGUGUUUUAGAAAAUGAAACAUAUUUUGAACAUAUUUCUUAUCAUUUCUUUAACAAUUAUGUAAAACUCAAAAGGAACCCUUAAUUUGAGACAGAGGAUAUAUAAUAAUCGAUGAAGUUUAAUAUCUGCAAAAAAGUGUUAUUAAGUGAAGUAAACUUAACAAGGGUGACACUUGUUUUCUUUUGGUAAGGUGUGGGAGCACUCUUGACUGAGUUUCUAUUUUUUUUUUUUAUAUUCUUUUGAAAGUUGUAGUGGUGUAAUUGGGUGGUUAGUUGAAGUAAUUUUCGUUUUGGUUCUUGCUUGAUCUAUUUUGCAUUGUGAAAUUUCAAUUCUUAGUUUGCUUUCUACAUUGACGGAGUUGCUAAGUUGCAAUCAAACUUUUGAGUGUGUAUUAAUUAUAACAGUAAGAGUGUUGCUAGCACUACUCUUAUAUAAAAUCAGAUGUAUUUUUAAAUUUAUUUAUUUAUUUUUUUUUUUUUAAUUUCUACGAAAGUGGUGCACUUUUCCAUGAAUAUGCUUUUAGUGCAACUCCUUACCAAUGUAGUCAAACAAUUUCUUAAAACUCAUUGUUAUUAGUCAUUUCGAAACAAUGUAUUCACCAAGACAAAGGAGUGGGUGGAAGGAUAAUGGGUGCAUGCACAAUCAAGAAAAAGUUAGGUGAACAUUACAAUCAAAAUAUAUAGCAUAGAGCAUCAAAAUUUAUCGUAUGAAACAAUGUUUUUCUAAAAUAUGAAUGUGAACAAAUAACCCUUCAACUCAUAAGAUGAUCUUUAAUAUAUAGAAUUAGAAAGUUAGAGUAUCAGUACACCGAAAUUUAUAUAUUCAAAAGUGAGGCGUAGUUGGUUUUCCUCUUUAUGUAGUAUAGUUCGGUUUUUCCAUUUUAUUAUGGUACUUAUUCCUAUCAAAUUGAUAAAUCAGCUUUAUCUUAUAAUUGAUUUAACUAAUGAUGACUUGAACAUCAAUAUUAUAUAUUCGGAUAUACGAGUACUUCAUCGUGCUCUUAAUUUAGAGAUGUUUUGAGUUUGUUUACAAAUUGAAUCUUUGAAUUUUAGACAUAGAACUUGUACUCUUUUAGAUAUAAUAUACCGAUUUGAAUGGAUAAAUACCGUAAUUCCAAACAUAUAUUUUUUUUUCACACACAUACCUCAUCCAUUACGAAACGCAGGAACUAAAGCUAUAUAAUAUAGUGAAGCUAAUUUAAUAAAAAAUAUAUAUAUUUGGUGAUGCUAAACUCAGUCUAACUUAAUGCCAGUUCAAAAGGAACACUGUGGUAUGGAGGAAUUCUUUGUUUUGCAUUUAUAAAUGGCAACUAUACCCUAUUAAUCAUCAUCAUAAAAAUAAUUUUUAUAAUGUAUGAGACCAAGUUUCACGUCUCUAUUAUUUUUCAUCAUUUUUUAGAAUUGUACGAUCUUGUACCAGAUCUUCGUUUAGUUAUGAUGAUAGCAACCACUCUCACUGAAAAAUUAUAUAAUAACAUUUUUUUGGCAUAUUUAAUUACUGAUCCUGUCGGUGUAUUAUUGUAAAAUUAGGCAAUUUGUCCAAUCAAUUCACACAUAAUUUCAAACCUGGCAACUAUAUAAAAACAAAAUCAUAGGUAAAUAAUGUAGAAAAUCACCAACAACCCUUGAAUUUUGUUACAAGAAAGGGCCAAGUCAUCACCUUAUCAAGAUUGUGAGUGGAUUCACAAAGAUCACGACUAGUAUAAAAGGAGGAAGUCACUCUUGUGUUUUCUGCACCAAACUCAUAAGUCACUAACAUGGCUUCCUCAAACUUCCUAGUGCUGCUUCUUUUUGCUCUAUUUGCCAUUCCUCAGGGUCUUGCCAAUUAUGAGAAGCCUCCGGUUUACCAACCACCGGUGUAUAAGCCACCAGUUGAGAAACCCCCGGUCUACAAACCCCCUGUAGAAAAGCCACCAGUAUAUAAGCCACCAGUAGAGAAGCCUCCAGUUUACAAACCACCGGUGUACAAGCCACCUGUGUACAAACCCCCAGUAGUGAAACCCCCAGUCUACAAACCUCCUGUUUACAAGCCACCGGUGUACAAGCCACCAGUUUACAAACCACCAGUAGAGAAGCCCCCAGUUUACAAGCCACCUGUAUACAAACCCCCAGUAGUGAAACCCCCAGUCUACAAACCUCCUGUUUACAAGCCACCAGUUGAGAAGCCUCCAGUUUACAAGCCACCAGUAGUGAAGCCACCUGUUUACAAGCCCCCAGUCUACAAGCCACCAGUAGUGAAGCCACCUGUAUACAAGCCUCCAGUCUACAAGCCACCCGUUUACAAGCCUCCAGUUGAGAAGCCUCCGGUCUACAAGCCACCUGUUUACAAGCCCCCAGUUGAGAAACCUCCAGUCUACAAGCCACCGGUUUACAAGCCUCCAGUCGAGAAGCCACCAGUUUACGGACCUCCUCACCACCCAUAGGACUCUCGGAUGCUUUUAAGUAAAUAAGUUAAAUAAGAGAUAUAUAAUGUUUCCAAAGCAAGGAUUAUAUAUUCUUGGAAUCUUCAUUUUAGUCUUUUGUUUACAAAUCCUAUUACCAAGAUAAGAAUGUGAAAGAAAAUGGUGCAUUUGUACUCCAAGUUAUGAAUAAGAACGUUGUGAUUUAGCACUUUUUAAUUUGUGUUGGUUGACUAAAUUGGACAUAGUAUAUAUAUACUCUACUUAAUACUCUGUCAUAUCAGUAAGGUGCAUGAAAGUUCAAUUUUCUGUAGUAGACAUAACGAAUAAUUAAUUUAUGUUUGAAUCUAGAAUUUACUAAACUUCACGUACUUGGAAUUUCAUUGCAUUAUAGCUUGACUCAGUAGUAGCUUUAGUGAAAAAUGAUUUUGGUGCUUAAAAUUUUAAGAGUUGGAGUUUGGACAAAUUAUACACUCAUAUAAUUUAGUUAUCUUUUCAAAUUUACAAUUACAAUUUUCAAGGUUCUAUAUUUGUGUUGAUGCACCAAUUAAGAGAAUGAUCAAGAAAAUUAGGUUUUUAAUUGGUUUUUAUCGAUGAUUUCUGAAGAUAUAUUUCGGCAGAUGAACUAAUCCUUCAAUUUAAGAGAUUAAAUUGCCAUUUUACAAAUUUCAAUGAUUAUAUUAUUACCUAAUCUUAAAUAUAAUUUUUAGGGCUAAAACGAUGAUUCACUCAAUAUAUAUUGUGAUUUCUUAUUUUUUUUAUGAUAUAAAGAUAGCUGAAGUUGUGUGAUAUACAAAGUUAUAUUUCCUUUGGAAGAUAAGAGUCCCCCACCAUAUUGACAUGAAAGUGAACGUGGGAAAAUAUGUGCAAUUAAGGUUCCAAAUAUUAAACAAUAGCCACAAUAAUUGUCUAUAACUCAUAACAAAUAUAAGAACUUGAUAAGAAAAAUAAUAAAUAUAAGAACAUGAGCAGGCCAUAGUUUUUUAGCCCGAGAAGCUUCAUCUUCUUUUUAAGUCUAACAUUUUUUAAUCUUCAUUCAAAGAAGAUUGGUGAUUUUGGGAUAUUUUUAUAAGAUAGGUAAAUAAUGAAAUUUGUGUUGUACUCGAAGAAAUCUACCACACGAUUUGAAUGAAUAUAUUACUUUUAGUCAAAAUAAAUUAAAAUAAAGAAUGUAACAUUUCAAACUCACUCACAUAUAAAGAAUGAAUUUACAAUCUUUAAAACACAAAUAUUUAAUCCUUAAAUCUAACACCUCUCUUAGUUUUAGCGAAAUGAACUUUGUGUUGUACUCGAAGAAAUCUACCACACAAUUUGAAUGAAUAUAUUACUUUUAGUCAAAAUAAAUUAAAAUAAAGAAUGUAAAAUUUCAAACUCACAUAAAAAGAAUGAAUUUACAAUCUUUAAAACACAAAUAUUUAAUCCUUAAAACUAACACCUCUCUUACAUUUAUUUUGUUUACGUACCUUUAUUUUGUUUUCAAAUACUUAUAUUUAGUUGAAUUCCUUCAUUAUACUCUUUUUAAUGAAUUUUCUGAACAAAAUAAAAUUGUGUUACUCAGUCACUCAAAUUAGAGUGGAUAGAGCAAUGAAAAUAUUUAUUACUAUGUAGUUUAUAGUUGGAGUGAUCGGAUAGUCUAGUGGGAUCUUAGCCACUCUCGUUUGACUCACUUGGAGCAUGUCAAAAAUAUUUUUUUGAAAAUGAACGAUGGAGAUUUACUUUGCACUAGGUCCAGUGAAAAAGAUAUGGGAGAUAAUCCCAAUCUUAGCUUAUUGGGUAGGCCAGUGUUGAGAAUGGAUUCUCUCAAAUGUAAUUAUCUCACUAGUCUAAUUACCAACACAAUCAAAGAGAAAAAAUAGUGGGAUGUAAGUAAAAAAUCCAUAUUCUACUUACUCAAUCAUCUAUACAAGCUACUUUAAUUAUCUAGUCGAACGUUACGAGCGUUACAAGAGAAAUCAGAAUAUCGAUGAUCAAAAUCCUUCAAAGCAAAAGAUGUUGUUGUGUGCAAGUGUGAGUUAUAUGCCCCACAUCGGAUAAAAGAGUAAAGGUUGAACACCUUAUAAGUAAGAGGACCAUAAACCCAAAGCCUUAAGGUUUUGGGUAAGAGUGUGGUGUCUCCCUUGCUUGUCUGGUUGUUCUAGCCUCGAUGUGGACGCUCCCCCAAGCUCCCCUCGCUGACCCAACAGUGGUAUCAGAACCCCGGUUCGAUGAAGGGUACGACUGAGGCCGCCUGUCAGUUGUGCAGAAAGCAGCAACGACGGUACAAGCAACAAGUGGCUUCUUGUGCAGCAACGGCUAUACAUGCAAAGUAAAAAGCUUCCACGCGGUACAAGCAACAAGUGGCUUCUUGUGCAGCAAUGGCUAUACAUGCAAAGUAAAAAGCUUCCACUCUAGGGGAGCGACUCACGCUUGAGGGGGAGUGCUGUUGUGUGCAAGUGUCUGUUAUAUGUCUCAAAUCGGAUAAAAGAGUAAAGGUUGAACAUCUUAUAAGUUAGAGGACCCAUAAACCCAUAGCCUUAAUACUGUCCUUUUUGCAUAUUUAGCCCCCCCGAAACCAAUUUUAACCAAUUCAACGAUGACGUGGAUGUCACGUGUGUAAUGCUUUAAUUAUUUUAGUUUUAGAUAGAUACAGAGAGAGAGGUGUCAUAUGUCAAAAAAAAAAAAAGAUAGAAAAGAUUUCCUUCCUUGAAUCGUUGAGGUAACUACAAACUAAGACAAUGAUGUUAUUGGUUACUUGUUUCUAAUACCUUUGAAAAAGAUAGUUAGACCAAUGUAUUGGUCAUUAACUCUUUUCAAUGGUUACUACCCUAGUGUCUAAGGUGAGUCAUAACAACGUCAAAGUAAGUACAAUUAUUAUUAAUUUAUGUCUACACCUAAUCAAUAAUUGAAGGUUAAGAUAGGUCAAGCCAACAAAGUUAAGGUUAAGAUAAUCAUUUUCACCUAAAUUGAUUUAUGAACAUAUGUUAAUGAUGACAGUCCGUCAUAUCACAUUUUUAGAGUCUUUUCAAUUAAGUUUUUAUUCUAAUUUUAUUAAUUUAGUACUUAAUUUAGAGUCAUUUUAAAUAAAUUGUCAUUUUCUUAUUAUUGAGUCAACUAGUGUAUUAUUACUAUUAUUAUUGGUCAAUUAGUGGCUAGUAAAGAGAAUGAAACAAAAACAUGGUUUUGUGAUGGAUGUGAUUGGCCAAGAAAAAUGAUAACAAGUUGAACGAAAGAAAAGAAGACCACACAAUGUUGCAUUAGGGUGCAGGAAUCAAAACCAAUAUAAUUGGGCUUUCUUUCAUGGACGUUGAACCAAGAAAAAGAAAAGAAAAGAUAACUUGCUGCAUAAUGUUAAUUUGGAAAGAAAAAUAGGUUUGACAAGCUAUAAAAGGAGACCACGCACAGGAACAAAGCAGACGAUUGGGAAAGAAAGAGCAGCACGCGGUACGAGACAAAAGGAGGAGGAGAAAAGCUCAUGGAAUUUGGAAUAUGCAACAGUACUGAUUAAAUAGAACAAAGCCGGUAGACCAUAAUUCGAUCGGUUUAUUUCUUUUAGUAUGUUGUUUAUUCCUUUAAUAUGUCUAGUUAAUUCCAUUUGAUUGAGUCACGAUGAACCUAUUGUAAUAUAUGAAUCAGUAGUUAAAACUCUUUUUAUUAUCAAUAUUAUUCAGUCUUUAUUCAGAAUUAUCUGUGUUCAUUGCCUUUCAUAUGAUUGUUUGCAUUGUUUGCAUUGUUUGCAUGACUAUUAACCCUAACUUCUUACAAUCACAUAAAUUGAUCUUAGGAAUUGAAUGACUACUAACCCUAACUUUUAAUCCUGAAAUAAUAAUUCUGUUUAAUUCAACAUAGGAACCUAGAGAUAGGAAAUUGAGGAUUAUGACAUAUAACGUUCUAACAUCGCUUCCGCGGUUAUUCAACCAGUUUAAAAGAUUAAAAGGUUAUAACUUAGGAAAUGGUUUUGAGUCAAGAGAUUGAUCAAAACUAAUUAGUUAAUUUGUCGUAAAGAUUGAAUAAGUGUUGAGAGCAAAGAGAGAUAAACUAUUUCACAUAAAACAAUAGAGGAUUUACCGGCUGAUCAUCUGUUUUAAUCCAAUUAUCAAACCAUUUUAUUUUAUGUUAUUUACUUUUUAUUGCACACAAACGUACUGCCUCAUACACUUAUAAAAUUUACACAUCCUAGAUAUUAACUUUAUUGCUAGUUUGAGAUUAACACAGUCCUCGUGGAUACGAACUUAUUUUAUUACUUCGAUAGUUUUAGUACACUUGCUAAAAUAUUUAUGAGUUAACCAAUAAAGAGUAUCAAGAACAACUUUAACCGAAUAAAAUAGAAAAGUAAUUAAAUGAAAUUUAUAGAAUUAUUCAAAGUUACAUAAUCAAACAAUUACGAGGAAGUUCUUAUUUCAUGACCUAACAUAUAUAGUAUUAGCUACUCAUAGAUUUUCUAAACAUAUAUAAAUAGAUAUGAAGAAGAAAGCAUGAGAAAAGGAUCAGCAAGUGAGGAUUAAUUGGCUCCCUAAUGGCCGUGGUCACUCCAAUCCUUCCAAAAUUGUGUUUCUGCCUUCGUCUUCUCGCUAAAAAGUAUUUUCCACUAACUUAGGUUUCAAUAUUUAUAGGUGUGCAUUUCCUUAAGUUUUUGGGAAAUUGGCACACGAUGCGAUCCUAUUCCUCAUGAUGCGAGGAUAACAUAACUAAUCUUGUUGGCCUCACGUUUAUUGUCCCGAUGCAAAGCUCAUGAAGAUUGAUACGAUUCAAGGAAAUGUGAUUUGAUUUAACCAAGCAAAAACCAAGAUCAUAGGAUAACAAUGAUACGAUUCAAAGAAGUGUUAACUUGAUUCACAGUAAUACAAUUCAAAGAAUCAUGAAUCGUUUAAAAAUUUAUGGAAAAUUAGCAGAAACUUUUCAUGAUAAGAUUCAAAAAAGUUUGAAUUGAAUCAAUUGGUUAGAAAAACAUUUUGACCAAGAAAAAUGAAGUUUUCUUUAUACAAACAAAACACAAGACAACAAGGGAUCAUAUGAUUUAUGAGGCAAGAUUUCUAGGUAUGCUUUAACAUGAUAUUAGUCAAUAACAACUAAUAUCUAAACAUCAUCAAAUAAAAACUACCUAAUGAACAUCAUAAAAACACAAACCUAUAACUACACAACUUCAUCCAACUUAUUGGGUGUACCGCAUUAACUAGAUAAUGGUCAUAUCUAUACUAUAUAUAAAGAAAAUAACAUGUUUUUCAAGGUGAGAAAAACACGAGAGGGGGGGGGGGGGGGGGUUGAAUUGUGGUUUCUUUCUCUUCUCCUAAAACCGAAUUCACUAUUCAGAACUUGAUAGAGUUCAGCUUCUGAAGUAGUGUUCAGAGUCUAGUUGCAGCGGAUAAGAAAAGAGAGAGAGAGAGAGAGGCAAGACACAAAGCAACUAUACAGAUUCCUUCCACAAACCGGAACUAGUCAUGUCCCCCUUGCACCUCCAAGAAGAGUUCACUAAAAUCAAUAUUCGAUUACAAUUGCUCAGGGCUCAAAAUAGCAAGAGACUUCAAACUACUCAAGAACAACUACAAGAGAUUUCCUAUGCUCAAGAACAAAAUCAAGAGACUUCCUAUGCUCAAGCACAACUGCAAGAGACUUCAUACAAAUCAGAUAAGACUCUUAAGAUUCUAGAAUUUCUAAAAUAUGAAAGUUGAUAAGAAAUUCUAAGUGAACUUUGAUGUGAAACAUUUUUAGCAGAGUUUUGGCACUUGUAAAAUUGUUGUAAGUCUCUUAGAAAUCUUCAAGUCUUCACUCCUUUAUAUAGAGGUGUGAAAGAGACGUUGUUGAUUUCCAACACAUUAAAAGAGUCGUUAUUGAAGCUUGAUCAAAUUUCAAUUCCAUUCCAAGUAUAGAGGAAUACCAGCGUAGUCACAAUUGUUGUUCUUGUACUAUUGCAGACAGAAAACAGAGUAGUGGAGAAGGUGGUUGUACAAUUGUACUAUUGUCCUUUUCCAAUGUUCUUCAAGGGAUAAGCAUCCAAUGACUUCAAAUUCCUCUUAAUUAGUUGUUGCUCUAGACUUCUAUUCCUUCUGCAAUGAUAGGCAUGAUAAUAACAACUCUUGACAAAUAUUGAAGCUUCCAGUCUUUCAGCUUAUGAUCUUAAACUUCUAACGACGUCAGCUUCUGGUAGUCUCCAGCUUAUGAUAAAAGUGCUUCUGAUGAUGUCAUCUUCAGAACCUCUUUGUCUUCAAAACCUCUUUUCCUUCAGAUGGUUCCUUGCAACUCAAGCUUCCUUUUUUUAAAUUCCAUUGCUCUCAUUUGUUCUUCUAGAACCCAUGCUUCAUUUAAAGACACUCAAAUUUUUGUAUAUGGUCCUGCACACUUGAACAAAUAUUAUCAUAUCCAAUUGAAUUUUUUUAAUACCUUGUUAUCAUCAAAACUUAAAGGGUAAUGUUAAACACAUUUUGUUCCAACAUUUUUGACUCUUUUAGAAUGACUUUUUCUCUUUCCAAAAUUACCAUCAACUUUCAAUACAAAUAACACAUACAACAAGAAUUGUGUUAUUUGAACAUCCAUAUAUGCGACAACUUUUGUGACAACCAAAAUUUUACAAAGAAAAUGAAGUAGUGGCACAAAAACCAAAGCAAUAGAGAGAGAAAGUAAAAAGAUAAUGUGAGUAUGAGAGAGAAAGUUGUCACAAAAGUUGUAAAAAAUAGUUGUUCAAAUAUCAUUUCUCCAUACAACAAAUAGAUGAGAGUAAAUUCAAACAUUAAAAUAAAAUUGUAAUACACACGAUAUGAGUAUAUAUGUCCAGUUUUUUCCUUUAUCAUUUAAAAAAUGUAACAAACAAGAUGAGAAUAUCAGAGAGAUGAGAGAUAGUGACGUGAGACAAGAAAGACCUCUCCGUGGCCCGCCUUUGCUUGAACGGUGGUAACCGCACCAGAAUUUAUCUCCAUUUGAGAGAUACACUAGGGGGUAGGUAUGCAGCCUGGGUGGUAGAAAAUGGGGGGGGGGGGGGGGGGGGUAUGGGUGAUUGGUCUGUAGUUAGGUCACGAAAGAGGAAAGCGACGCAAUCGGAAGAUCGAGGAAGGGACAAGUCAAGGGUUUCAGAGCGACGCGGAGGCACGGUAAGGGUUAGAGGGAUCGCACAUAAUGAUUACGGGUUUGAUGGCAGAGAGGCGCGACAAUCAGCAAGGGCUCUUCAUGAUCAGCAAGGUUUGGGUCGUUAUCAGUUUGGAAACAACGAUUUGGCUUUCGACAGAUGCGGGUCUGAUGCUAUCAUGGGAAAAGGCUUCUUCGACGACAAACAUAACAAUGGUAGUAAAAUUACUUUCUAUUUUGCAAACAUUCCUGAUUAUAUGCCGUUGUUUCGUCUCCGUCAAUACUUUGAAGUGUGUGGUAUUUUGUCUGAUGUCUAUGUUGCCAGACAACUAAAUUCACGUGGUCAGGUCUAUGGCUUCGUUAGAUUUUUGAAUGUGAGGAACAAGGACAAAUUAGCACAAGAUUUGAAUAAUGUAUGGAUUGGUGACUUUAAGGUCUGGGCGCGUGAAGCAAAAUUUGAUAGGUUUGCACAAUAUGAUGAUGAUCAUAGGGUGUCUAUGCAUGGUGAUAGAAGGGAUGAGAAUGGAGGGGAGAGGAGGCCGGUGGUGAGAACUAAUGGUGAUGGAGUAAAAAAUAUGAGGAUGUGUAAUUUUAAAAAAAUAGGAGGGAUAAUAAAAAUAGUUGUUGGUCUCAUUUUAAAAAAAAAUAAAAAAAUUGUUUAUAUAUUUUUGUUAUAUUAUCGGUGUCAAUGAAAUGGAUAAUCAUGGUUAAUUUGAUUUGUUAUAAUUUGAAAGCAACACACAUUUAUAUCUUUAAUUUUAAUCAAAAUCAAAAUGUUAUAAAAAAUACUAUUGCUAAUUUUCAAAUGUUAACACAAUAAAAAGAGCAGAAAGACGGAGUGCCCGUCUUUUCACUAGUUAUAAUAAAAGAAAUUUUAUUUGAUGUAUUGAUAAUGAUACUGAAACUUUUUACACAUACAUCCAAACAUUAUUCAUGACAUCACUUUUAUACAAGUUCUAAAAUAUCGCUGUAACAAAAAGGUUAAAAAACAACUCAUGAAAUAUGUACAUGAUUUAAUUGAAUAUAUGUGUAAAAGAAAUUAUAUAUCAACAUCUAUAAAUUAAAUUUAUUAUUGAAAUGAAAUACUAGUAAAAAUGAUGGCCAGCAUUUAUGAAAAUAAAGGUCUAACUGAUCAUGGGCCAAUUUAAAUCAAAAGUAGAUUUGUGCCCUCUAAAGGGUACUAGAAUAUAAAAGAUGGACGGCAAACAAGGGACACAAAGAAUAGAGAUGCUCAAUUUAAAACACAACUUCGAUUUUUUUUUUAUUUACUAAAAAAUAACUUAGAUUGUUUAGAGAAGAUAGGAAUUCAAUUAGUCUGACAACAUAUUUUGGAAGUACAAUUAGUUUCACAAUUAACUAUUUUGAUAAUCCUCCUUAUUAAAAAAAAAUUAAUAUUCCAUUUCGUCAAAUAAAACAAAAAGUUAGGGAGUGAUGAGAGAUCUUAGUCAAUAUUGUUUUGCACCAUAAUAUUUUUGAGAGAUUGAUUUGGCAUUUACAUGCUUCCAACAAAUACAAUGUAACAAGUGCUUAUAAUUAUAUGAUAUCGUCUCUUAAUAUUGUGACAGCUGAUCACUUAAACACAAUUUGGAACAACGAGGUCCCUCUGAAAGUUAGUCAUUUUACAUGGAGUUUGCUCUGUAGCCGAUUACCAACAACAAAUAAUUUUAUCAGAAGGCACAUUCUUAAUCAUAAUGUUCAACUUUGUGUAGGCUUUUGUGGUAUAAUGUAAGAUAUAGACGAUCUAUUUCUCUCUUGUGAUUUUUUUGAAAUUUUUUAGAUUGGUAUCUAUAAUUGGCUCGGCUUUACUAUGGUACAUCCAGAACAUCCGAAUAACUUUUCAACUCAUAUGGUUAACUUGUGUUUGGGUGAUUUGAUGGGAAAGAAAUGCUUGAAGUUUUCGCAAUCAAGAAGAAUCGUUACAACAUCUUCUUGACAAAAUUAAGCUUCAAUCCUAUUAGUGGUUGAAAGCGAAUAGAAUUUUCGCUCAAUUUUAAUAAAGUGGAUACUAUAUGAGAUUUUCGCUCAAUUUUUUAUGAGUAUGGACUGCACUUGGCGUUAGUCAUUGAACUCAUUUUACGAGACUCAAGUUCCAACUUAAGCCAAAAACUGAAACCAAACAAAUGAAGUAAAAAACUCAAGUUCCAAACUAAUGCGUGAUUUUAGUCAAAACAAUGUUUAUUUUUUGACAGUAGUUAGUUUUGGAUUACAGCUAUAUCCCUACACCCCACAAACUAUACCCCUCUCACCAAUAGACAAAACAAAAGAGUAGGUGGAAGGGUACAUAAUUAAGAAAAAGUUAUGUGAAAAACAAUAUUUUCUAUAGCCAAAACCAAAAGAUAUAUAUUGCAUUAUUGCAUAUAUACCAAUAAAAGAAGUACUGUGAAAUACAAGAUAAUGGCAUUAGAUUAGAAAUGGCCAAUUUGAUCUGUCUAUUUUUAAUCAUAUUAUUUAGAUUUGUUCAAUCUUUUACCAAAUCUUAUUUAGUUAUGCAAAAAGCAACACCUCUCGUUGAAAGAUAAUAAUAACGAUUUUUGGCAUAUGUUACUAAUAUUGAUUGAAAAAUGUUACCAAAUGAUGCAACUUCCCAACUCCAAUCCACUCAUAAUUUCAAACUUCGCUACCAUAUGAAAACAAAAUCACAGGUAGAAAUGUGUUGGAAAUCCUCAACAACUAUUGACUUUUGGUACAAAAGAGUGCCAAGUCAUUACUAAUUCAAGAUUGAGACAUGCAGCUGUGAGUGGAUUCACUAAGAUCACGACUAGUAUAAAAGGAGCUGGUCACACUUGUAUUUUAUGCACCAAAUUAUAAGUCACUAACAUGGCUUCCUCAAACUUUCUAAUGAUGCUCCUCUUUGCUCUCUUUGUCAUCCCUAAGGGGUUUGCCAACUACGAGAAACCUCCAGAGUAUCAUCCACCAGUUGAAAAUCCCCCAUUUUAUAAACCACCGGUAGAGAAACCACCUGUGUAUAAACCACCAAUAGAGCAACCUCCAAUUUAUAAGCCACCUGUAGAAAAUCCUCCAAUUUAUAAACCACCAGUAGAGAAACCACCCGUGUAUAAACCACCGUUUGAGAAACCUCCAAUCUACCAUCCACCAGUAGAGAUACCACCAGUGUACAACCCACCAGUUGAACAUCCUCCAAUUUACAAGCCUCCUGUAUACAAACCACCAGUAGAGCAACCUCCCGUCUAUAAGCCACCAGUAGAGAAGCCUCCAAUUUACAAGCCACCAGUAGAGAAACCUCCUGUUUACCAACCUCCUGUUUACAAGCCCCCAGUUGAGAAACCUCCAGUGUACAAGCCACCUGUAGAAAAGCCACCAGUGUACAAGCCACCUGUAGAAAAGCCACCAGUGUACAAGCCACCUGUAGAAAAGCCUCCUAUAUACAAACCACCAGUAGAGAAACCACCAGUGUACAAACCACCCGUUGAGAAACCCCCGGUUUAUAAGCCACCAGUAGAGAAACCACCUGUGUACAAGCCACCAGUUGAGAAGCCCCCAAUUUACAAGCCACCAGUAGAGAAACCACCUGUAUACAAGCCACCAGUUGAGAAGCCUCCAGCUUACAAGCCACCAGUUGAGAAGCCACCUGUAGAGAAACCACCAGUGUACAAGCCACCGGUUGAGAAGCCCCCAAUUUACAAACCACCAGUUGAGAAGCCUCCAGUGUACAAGCCACCGGUUGAGAAACCACCUGUCUACAAGCCACCUGUAGAAAAUCCACCUGUUUACAAGCCACCAUUUGAGAAACCUCCAAUUUAUAAACCGCCAAUAGAGUAUCCACCCGUGUACAAGCCCCCUUUUGAGAAACCCCCCAUCUACAAGCCACCUGUAGAGAAACCUCCUUUUUACAAGCCUCCGUUUGAGAAUCCACCAUUUUAUAUACCUCCAGUUGAGGAGCCUCCUGUUUACAAGCCUCCAUUCGAGAAGCCACCAAUUUACACUCCUCCAUUCUAGAGCCCACCUUACCACCCAAAGUUCCCUCGGGCAGGCGAUGGUACUCGUUAAUAGAACAUGCUAUGAAGAAAAUAUGUUAAAUAAGAGAUAUAUAGAGUUUUUUAUUUAAUCAAGGAAUAUAUAUAUUCAUGUAAUCUUCAUUUCAAUACUUUGUUUACAAUACUCUUGCUAUGAUAAGAAUAUGAGUGAAAAACAGAGAAAGAAAAUAGUGUGCUUUUCUAUUCGAAAUUAUGAAUAAGAUUUCUAUGAUUUAGAUGUUGUGUUGGUUGACUAAAUCGUGAUACAUCGACAGAGGCAGAGCCCCUCAUGCGCCAAGGUGGGUCAUGGCCCACCCCCAAAUUUUGUUUCUUAUUAUAUAUAUAUUAUGUUUUGUAAAUUUUUGAUGUUUUUGUAGCAUGUUGUAGUGGUUAAGAGCCUUUUUGCCAAGUCGUAUGUGCUAGGUUCAACUCUUGCCAAAACCAUUUUUAUUUAUUCUUUUAUUUUCUUUUGUAUAAAAAAAAAACAUAAUUCAUAAUUGUUAAAAUAAUCCUUUUUUUUGUUACUUAAUCCUUUCUUUCUUUAAUAAAACAUAACUCCUUUAUUCGAUUUAAAAUAAUCUUUCCUUUCCUUACUCUUAUUUUUGGAUACAAUUGUCUCUUUACUCUUUUAUUUUAAUUUUUUUUUUAUACAAAGGGGACUUCAACUCUUUUUUGUCAAAAAACAUUCUCUUUUAAAACAUAUAACAUAUUUUUUAUACUUAGUCGUUUGAUUCAAUUCGAUUUUAUACCUAUACAUCUGUUUAUUGAAGUCGAGUCAUUUAAUUCAGUCGUUAGGUUCAAUGGCCUAGUUGUUCGAUCAAUUAUCUUGAACUUUAUCAAGGUUGAUAAACAGUUCAUAUUUUAAAAUACCGGUUUAAAUUAUAUUCAACAAAUAACAAAUUUAUAGUCAUUGGAACCAACCAAUAAUAAAAUGUACUUGUAAGAAAAUAAAGCCUCAUCACUAUUUAUGGCCCACCCUAUACUUUUUUCCUAGCUCCGCCACUUUACAUCUUCGUAUUCUUUAGGAAGUUUCAACCUUGUUGACUAUGACAACAGUGACGACUAUAACGAGACUCGCUAUUGACUAUGACAACAGUGACGACUAUAACGAGACUCCCUACUUUUUGGUUUGCUUCAACAGGUUCUCAACAUAAAUAACUAACCAAGUUAAUUUGCCUGUGAAAUGUGAUAUUAGUAAGGUGCAUGAAGGUUAAGUUCUUUAGCAAAGCUUAGUAUCUUGAAUUAAAGAAUAUCGUUAAUUAAACUAAAUAUUCAUAUUAGGUAUCACAAUUUUCAAGACUUUAUAUGUACGUGUUGAUCCAUUAAUUAAGAGAAAUUAGACUUUAGACCCGUGCGUCGCACGGGUCAUUUCGACUAAUAUAUAAUAAUAAGUAAUGGUAAAAAAAAUUCUAAAAUAAAUAAAAGAUGAAGAGUAUUAUACAUUUUACUUACUCAAGUUCAAAAAAUAAAGUAGGAGAUGACAUGAAAUCGUUUAGUUGAAACAAACGAAUAUUAAAAAAUAAAAAUUAGACAACGACAGGGAUCUAAAAUUCUAUUUCUAAUCCUUCACAUAUCAAAAUUACAAUUGGUUCUCUUCAUUGUAAUCAUCUAAACUUAAUUAAAAAAUUUACAAGUGCAAAUAGAAUCGACAUUAUACAAGUCACUACUUGAUUCCAAAAACCUAUGUUUCAUGAAAACCACUCAUACCUAAAUAACAAUAAUAAACCUUCAAAACAAAAAUCAACUAUUCUCAAAGGACCCAAAAGAAAGAUUUUUAGCCUUCUAAAUCACAAUUUCUCUUGUUGUAUUGUUUUUGUGUCAAAAGCACCAUAAGUUGAAUAGUAGGCUCAGACACAUGACUUUCCUCAUAAGACAAAAUCACCAGUUUUUUAUAGGUUGAAAAAAUAAAUCAAAUAUCCUUAACUUUCAAUAACGCUUAGAAACAACUGAAACUUUUGCAUUAUCUCAAUCCACAAACAAAAUUGAAGACCUUUAUAUUUGCUUUAGGCACCUUAAGGAAUUCUAUGUAAAUUGUUUUCCUGCAAUGAAAUGCUAAACACAAUGAGCAAAGAAGAAGAAUUAACAACAAUAUUUGGAUUGUUUUAUUUAGCUUACAAUUCUUUAAACUAAUCAANAACACAAUGAGCAAAGAAGAAGAAUUAACAACAAUAUUUGGAUUGUUUUAUUUAGCUUACAAUUCUUUAAACUAAUCAACAAAAAAUUAAAUUUGCAUUAUAUCCUCCACAAUAUCAAGAAUUUUUCAAAGGGAUCAUUCUAUUUGUAUGGCUAUGAUGAGAACUCAUGUGUGUCCAUGAAGACCAGCUCUACGGAUAACCAUGUUCAUAUUAACUAUUUUAGGAGUGAAAAUAGGAUUGGAUUGGAUUUAGUAGUGAGCUGUUGUUUUUGAUUUCAGAAGCAUUUGAAAAUAACAUUUUGAUUAAAUGGAAAUAAUAGGAAGAAUUUGUUAAUAAAAGUGAUUUUUUUUUUUUUUUUUAUGUUGAUCUUUUUAUUGUUGUGUUAGAAACAAAAUAGGACGAAAUUGUAUUUUUUUUUUUAUGUUUAUCUUUUUAUUGUUGUGUUGGAAACAAAAUAGGAGGAAAUUGUUAUAGGAAUAGGAGGAACGAUUUUUAAAGUUUAUCUCUUAAUUAAACAGGUUUAAUUGAACACGGGGGUAAUAACGUAAAAGUCAUCAUAAAAUCUAGGUUAAAAUUAGGUUAAAAAUUGGCUUACGGGUUAACUUUUAUAUAUAAAGAAGUCAAGAGAAUCUAGAUCUGUGAAGCCCCGAUACUUCAAAAUGGAUGAUGUAUCGUAUCCGCUGCGUAUUCUGUAUCGAUACCUGCCCGAUACUUCUCAAAUUUAUGAGUUUUAUUUGAUUCUUCGAAUUCGAAUUUUGAGAAUUUUAGGGUUUGAAGGUUGGUGAUGGAGGUGAAUCUGAGUUUAUAUUAAGAAUUGAUGAAGAAUUUAAGGAGAGUGCAGUGAUGGAUAGGUAACUGAGUAUGAAUUGGUAUGCAGUUUGGAAAAACAAAACAAGAGGCAGUAGCAGCACCCCCACCCUUCCUCUACUUCUUCGACAAUAUGAGUGUUAGAUUCAUUUUCCUAGGUGUGAUUUUGAGGCAGAUGAAUAUGUGUGAGAGAUUGUAGAGGAAGAUCUCAGAUAUAGCUUUUAGGGAUGAACAUGAAUGAAUGAAUUUGUAGAUGAAGAUGAAUGUUGUUUGAACAUUUAAUUAAGAAAUUUUUAAUUGUUUUUUGUUUUAAUAUUUGAAAUUAUUAAAUUGUAUUUUGAAAUUCAAAAAACCUGUUUUAAUGACAUGUAAAUGACAUUUUCCAAAUUGGCAAUGCCACAUAGGCAAAAUUUUACCACCUGUGCAUUUUUGGAUGUGAAAAUAGGGGGUAAGACUAAAACUGCAACAAAAAUGAUAAUUGAAAAACAAUUUUAAUCUGUUUUAAAAGGGCAGGACCAAUUUCCUGAGUAGGCCACAACACGAGGACCAAAAGUGUAAUUAAGCCUUAUAUUUAUGUUGAUGUGCUACAAGCUUAUGACUGGUUUCUUUUGUUUGAUAAUAUAUUUGCAUAUUAAAUAAAAUGGUUAUAAUUAUAUUCUACAUUUAAUUAUAUAAUUUUUUUAUUGACGUAUCCCAACCAUAUCGUAUCUUGAUUUUUGAAAUUUUUUCGUAUUGACGUAUCGGUGCAGUAUCGUAUCUCGUAUUCGGGCUUCAUAGAUCUAGACUAUUAAUUUUUUUGAUAAACAAGAUUAUUAUUAUUUUUUGACAAAAACAAAGUGAGAUUCAUUCAUUCAAAUUGAUAGAGUACAUCAGAUACAAACAUUGCUAAAAACGUAAAGGAUAAAUCUAUGAACAAACUCACAACACUAAAGUUCAUACAACAGCAAAAUGUCUACAAAUAAUAUGAUAAAAUCUAAGUCACCAAAAUAUUCAUGCUUCCGGGUAUGCAACGUUGGCGCCCAAAUCAUUGAUUGAAUUUGUAAUUGACUAAUGUCGAUCUUUCAACAUGAACUAAACGAACACCGCGUCAAGACGCGAAAUCAAACAUCACAUAAGACCACUAACAACACAAUGCCACAAUUAGAUGACGAAAUCACAAAAACUCAAAAGGGAAAACUUGAUAUAUGUGAAAACCAUUUGUUUAGAUCGAAAGAAAAGAGAAAAAACGAUGUAGAGGGGUGAUUUUAGGUCAAAAAUGACCUAAAACCAGUUCUUUUUAAUAAACGAAGGAGAAAGAAUGUUUAGAGAGAAGUUGGAGUUUUUUUUUACUUAAAAAAUUAGGAUAAGCAAAAUUAUUAUAGAGGGAUAAAGGGCUCCCCAACCCAUAUACAAAAUGAUGGUUGCAAUGCCAUGUAGAAAAUAAAAAGAUAACAUUGCCUUUCUUUUUACAAUUAAACUAGUUACAAACCCGUGCGUUGCACGGGUUUAAUAACGUAUUUUAUAAAAAAAAAAUCUUUUAAAAGAAAAAUGAGCAAAUUAAUGAAUAUUGCACAAACAUUAUAAAUCUUUAUCAAAAUAUUUAUGAAAGCUUUAUCAAGUCUUUAAUACACAUUAAUAUUUGUGAUGAUUGAUAAAAGAAUUAAAAAGAGUAAAGGGUAUAGAAAUAAAUUUAUUAAAGAAUUAACAAUUUGUUUAAACUUAUUUUUGUUACAAUUUAGACCAAAAAAAAUAUUGGACUUCAUUGAGUUUCUCUAUAAUUUUUUUAUCAGGCUUGAAGUUAUGACUCUGAGUUUGAAAACCGCAAAAUUCACAAAAAUUAUUGAAGAAACACUAUAAACAAAUAAACGGCAUCGUCAAAAAUGAAAUCAUAUUUGGCUAUAGUGAUCAAGCAAACAAAAAAAAAGAAGCAUAUUAAAUACCUAUAAUCAAUGGAUUCUAAUUGCAUAGAGGCGACACUUAUACUUUCUCUAUGUUUGUUCAUCAAUGAGAGUGAUUAUUUUGCGCUUUCCUUUCAGAAUUGUUCUUGACACCUAGUUUGGGAAAUGCUAAACAGGGAAAUAACUGUAAUAUUAAUCUAAUGCAUAUUAACAUGGAUAAGAUGUAUGCGAAUAUAGUUAUAUAUAACUUAUGAAAUGAAGGUAACAUAACUGAUUUUAAGCUAAAGAAAAUGUACCAUGACUUCUAAUUUAUCUUUCUAUUAUCUUCCUAUAAAGUCUAGAGAAAUGCAUGCAUGUGCAUUAUAUGUACCCCGUUGACCAAUUAACAUUUUUGAAACAAAUGAAAAUUAAGCAUCACUCCCGCAUGUGCAUCUAUAGCUAACACCAUUUGACAUUGAUGUCUUCGAACAUUUGGUGCAACUCUCAUAAUACCAUCCAAACUGGUUAGGAUUGAAUUUAGUUGUUUUUCCAAAUAGUGAUGGAGUAUGUAUCCUAACACAAAUUAUGCACGUGAAAUAAAGAAUAGUGCAAUAUGCAUUUUUAAUUUGUGCGUAAAAAAAUUCAAAGCAUGUUUGUGAAAAAAAAAAAAAAAAACAGACCUUGACUAAGUUUAUAGAUUCAUCAAUUGGCCUAACUUGAGACAGAUUGGAAAAAUCGUUCUACGAAGUACUUUUUAAACUUUACUUUUUAAUCUAUCUGAGCUUGAGAAGUGUUAAGUUCACGACAACAAUUCAAGAAACAUGGUCAAUAAACAAUCAAAUCAGAUUGUGAAAUAAUAAGUUACUCUAACACUGUAUUGUGAAAUCAUAAUGCAAACUUACUAAGUCUUAAACUUUUCAACAACCGGAUGAUGUAGGUUGAUGAGCAGCCUCGAACCUGACCAAUUGUUACAUCUAUUUGCGUUGUCAUUGACUACAAAAUAGAAGCAAAGAAUUCAAGGUAAAUAAAUGGUAAAUGAUAAAGCUACAAAGUAUUUUACCCAUAAUGUUACAUCAACUAUAUUCCCAAUGCUCUAAAUCUCUAUAUCGAGUUAUUACAUGAACUCGAUCACCCUAAAUCCGAGAAAGAAACCAAAAAAUAUAAAUAAAUCAAAAUGUAUACUAAUAAGUAACAUUGAUAAAUCAUAAAAGAAAUUACUACAAAUCUUAACUAACUUAUCUAACCUUUGCAUCACAAAUAAUGAGCUUCAUAUGUUGAUUCUCAUUACUACCAGUCACAAUUCAAGAAUCCAGUACUCCAAAUCCUAUUUUCCAAACGUCUAAAUCAUUUUUGAGAUACUUAAUGUAGUCAUAAUCCCUUGACAUUGAAAUUCAUAUAUAGAAAUACAAUAAUACAUCAUUUAAUUUUAUUCCCUUUGUUCAUUCUGAUAUCGAAAGAAGCUAACAUAUUUCUAUGUGAUCAAUUUUUGUAUCAUCAAAUUAACCUGAUCUUAAAUGUACAAAUUUCUAUCAUCAACUUUCUGGACCCCAAUGAUAUGAUCAAAACAAAUUUACACCAAUCAACUUUUUGCACGGCUCAAUGAUAUACGAAAGAAUAAAUAAAAUAUGAAAACUGUUACAGCUUUAGGAUUACUCACAAAAACUAAAAUAAUUGAAAUGCAUCAAUUAUUUUCAACUCCUGUACCAGAAGCUAAAAUAACAAUUGUGUCAAAACCUUACCAUCAGUUAAAAUUCAGUCAUCAUGACCUCUACUAUACUCCACAUAACAAAAGACGAUUUUUCUACAGCCAUGCAACAUAACAAAUUUUGGUACAUAAUCCAAUAACAAUUGGAAAAAAAAAAAAAAAACCCUUAAAAUGCAUAAUCAUGAAAAAAGGAAGAAAACCAUCUAUGAUGAAGCAAAAACUAAAACGGUGUCGAAAAAUGAAGCCCUUAAGCCAUAAAAAUCAGUCAACUCAAGUCAUGCAUGGUCUCAGAACCAUGAAAAAAGAUAGAAAAUGACCUUUUUUUUUUUUGUGGUGGCCGGGGUUUGAACUCCGGACCUUGCAUAUUUUAUGCAUUGUCCUACCAACUAAGCUAAGCUCACGAGGACGAAGAAAAUGACCUCUUAUGAAGAAGAAAGUGAAACAGUGUUCCCGACUGAACUUAGAUACCGUUUGGUCAAGGUUUUUUACAUUAUAAAAGUUACUUCAAAACAAAGUAAAAAUAAAGGCCUUUAUGAAAGAAACUAAAGUUAUUUGGUUUUUUUGUUUUGUUAGUUUUAAAGCUAUUUAAGUUUAAUGUUGUUUGGCAAAAUAUUGUACAAACUUUGAAUUUAUUAUUUUUUAUAUGGUGUCUGGGGUUCGAACUCCGGACUUGGCAUGUAUUUAUGCAUUGUUCCUAUCAACUGAGCUAAACUCAUGAGGACAAAACUUUGAAUUUAUUAUUAAUUAACAUAAUAAAUAAAUAAAAUGUUUAGAAUAAUUUAUGAAGGCUAAAAAUGUUAAAAAAAUAAAAGAUAUUUUUUUUACAAAUACGAUAUUUACUCAAUAACGUUUAUUUUGUGUAACAUGAAUACAAAUUAAUAUCAUCAUAUAAAUAACUUGUUAAAUAUUUGAAUAGGAGAAACAAUUUAAGGAGUCUGGAAUAAUAAUAUAAAUAAUAUCAAAAUAUUUGAUUUUUUCUAUUUCAAUUAUACUCUAUAACAAAUUUCGUUAUAAGAAUACCAUAUUUUUUGUGUCUUUCAAAAAGAUAAGAAUUUAUAUUAUAUGAUAUUAUAUUUGUUACAUUGUUGGUGUCAUGGAAACAGAUAUGUUUAAUUUUUUUGAACAUGAAAAUGAUAUGCAUAGUUUGUUACGAUAUAAAGGUGCAAUAUAUAUAUAUAUAUACACCUUUUUAGGCAUCUAUACCUUUUUUUGAAGAAAAGACAUCUACAAUUUUACUUUUAAUUAAAAUUUAAAUUUUAUAAAAAUAAUCAUACGCAUUAUGCAACGCUAAAAAAAAUUAUACACAUUAGCGUAACAAAAAAACAGACACACAUAAAGAAUUACUCUAAACGCUAAUGUGUAUGUGCGUAUAUAUUUGCGAGGUUGAAGAAAGAAAAUACAAAUAUUUGAUAUCAUUAAAUGACAGCGUGAAUAAAAAUAUUUGUGAAGUUGUGAUGAUUAAACGAUAUUGAAAUUAUAAGUGAUAAAAAGAUAAUAAAAUUCCUUUGAAAAAAAGGUAAUAAAAUUAAAUGGAACCUCCUUAAAAAAAAUUAAAUUGAACGCUUCAAAUUAAAUGGAAGAAAAAAAUAUAUUGAAGUAUAAUAUUAAAAAAUAAAAAAAAAGGUUCCCAACGUGAAUUGAAGAGAGAUGCUUGUGAAAUAAAUUGUCGAGAAGUAGUUUUUUGAAGAAGCAUUCAACAACUUUUGGUCAAAGUUCAUUGCAUUCAAUUUUAUGCAUUAAAAAAGGUACAUUUUUUAGAAAGUACUUAAUUGAUAUUGUAUUUGACCUAACUUCUCCUUAAAAAUAUAGGGAAGUUGAAAAAAAAAACCGGGUCAAACGGUAUCUUAAUUUCCCACAACGGCAGUGUAGAAACAACUGAAUUUGGGAGAAAAAAAUUGGAAAAUAGUUAAAAAUAAAAAAAAUUGAAAAAUAGUUAAAAAAAAUCGGUGAGGUAGCACCUAACCAAACAACACUAAAAAAAAUUAUAUGCAUCAGCGUAACAAAAAAACAGACAGACGGACAUAAAAUAUUACUCUAAACGUUAAUGUGUGUGUAUAUAUUCGCGAGGUUGAAGAAAGGAAAUAAAAAUAUUUGGUAUCAUUAAAUGACAGCGUGAAUAAAAAUAUUUGUGAGGUUGUGAUGAUUAAACAAUAUUGAAAUUAAAAUAAUUAAUAUUGUGUUUGACCCAACUUCUCCUUAAAAAUUUAGAGAAGUUGGAAAAAAGUCGGGUCAAGCGAUACCUUAAUCUCCCACAACGGUAAUGUAGAAGCCACUGAAUUUGGGAGAAAAAAUUGGAAAAUAGUUAAAACUAAAAAAUAAAAAAAUCGGUGAGGUAGCACCCAACCAAGCAACACCAAAAAAAAAUUAUAUGCAUUAUCGUAACAAAAAAAUAGACAAACAGACAUAUAAUAUUACUCGAAACAUUAAUGUGUGUGUAUAUUCGCGAGGUUGAAGAAAGGAAAUAAAAAUAUUUGAUAUCAUUAAAUGACAACGUGAAUAAAUAUAUCUGUGAGGUUGUGAUGAUUAAAUAAUAUUUAAAUUAAAAUAAUUGAUAUUGUGUUUGACCUAACUUCUCCUUAAAAAUGUAGAGAAUUUGGAAAAAAGCCGGGUCAAACGAUACCUUAGUCUCCCACAACGGCAAUGUAGAAGCAACUGAAUUUGGGAGAAAAAAUUGAAAAAUAGUUAAAAACAUAAAAAUUGGAAAAUAGUUAAAAGUUAUUAAAAAUUAGAAAAUAAUUUAAAAAAUUGGUGAGGGGCAAAAUGGGAAAUUUGGCAUAAAAAAGAUGAGGUGGCACCAAACCAAACCCACCAAUUAGAAAAUUACUUAAAUGCCCAUUCCAGGGACAAAAUGGGAAUUUCAUAUGGCAUCAAUUUUAAUAGAGUAUAUAGACCACUCACAUUACACAAAUGUUGAAAUAUAUGAUGCAUAUUACUUUUUAAAUUUUUGGUUUAUAGUUGCAUUUUUUUUAGGGUUAAUAGUGUUUUUCACCCUUGUAAUAUAUGUCAUUUUCGGUUUUCGACCCUAUAAAAUUUUUAGUUUUAUUUUAACCCUCGUAAAAUUUUUAUUUUCCGGAAAAGACCCUUAAUAGGCCAUUCAAAAACCAAAAUUUCUUGAAAAAAAUUCUGAAAAUGGCCUAUUAGGGGUCUUUUCCGGAAAAUAAAAAUUAUACGAGGGACCACCUGUUGAGAAACCACCUGUACACAAGCCACCAGUUGAGAAGCUACCUGUUUACAAGCCACCUGUAGAGAAACCUCCGGUGUACAAGCCACCUGUUGAGAAGCCCCCAGUUUACAAACCUCCAGUAGAGAAGCCUCUAGUGCACAAGCCACCAGUUGAUAAACCACCUGUACACAAGCCACCAGUUGAGAAGCUACCUGUUUACAAGCCACCUGUAGAGAAACCUCCGGUGUACAAGCCACCAGUUGAGAAGCCCCCAGUUCACAAACCUCCAGUAGAGAAGCCUCCAGUUCACAAACCUCAAGUGGAGAAGCCACCUGUAUACAAGCCACCAGUUGAGAAGUUUCCAAUUUACAAACCUCUAGUAGAGAAGCCUCCAGUGCACAAGCCACGAGUUGAGAAACCACCUGUACACAAGCCACCAGUUGAGAAGCUACCUUUUUACAAGCCACCUGCAAAGAAACCUCCGGUGUACAAGCCACCAGUUGAGAAG